CGCGGCACGUUAAUAUCUCUAUGUAAACCUGACGUGUGGGCCUUUCUUUCAUAUUUCCUGAUAACCCCCUGCAGAAAUAGACAAACACCAAAACUCGUGGAAUUCUGUCAGAUAAAACCCAAAGUCUAGAUGUUGAUUUCAUUUGGAUCCUUUUCUUUGUUCAUUUGGUAAUUAAAUUUGAUAAUUAAGGACCGUCAACAAACUCCCCCAAGCUUACCUCUUGCUUGUCCCUGAGCAAGGAUAGACUCAGCAAUGGAUCAGAAGUUGUUGCAAUAUCUUAAAAAUUUGACGGUACACAUGCUUUUAAAUAAGAUCUCAUCUCUGAGUUAGAGUAAACUGUCAAGAACUAAAACUUACUUACUUUACCUUUCACCAUGGGACUUGUAACCGUCACAUCUGUCUUGAGUAGUUAAAAGAUAGAACAGUCUAGCCAAGUGCCAUGUCUCUUAUUCUUGAUCAGCUAUAGCUCUGGAGUUUUUGCAGAUUUUCAAAUAAAACUCAGAGAUUCCUUGUAUGACUCUCUAAAUCUCUCUUUUGUGGUAUUUCUGGAUCCUUACCAAGGCAGUGAUGGUAUAUGCCUUCUCUCAAGAUAUGUGGUAUUUGUGGUAUAAGGCAUAGUGACAUUGCCUUCUCUCUCACCCUACUCUAAUAAGGCUUUAAUAUCUGGAGCUCAUAGGUGGGAGAUAAAGUAUACAUACUUACAAGACAUUUAUUGUAUAGUCAAACCAUGGAUCCAGAGAAACAAGUCAAUAAGUCAAAUCAAGAUGUGCAUGUGUGGCGAAUGAAUGGUGUAUGGUGAUGAUGGUGAUAACAAUGGUGGAAGUCUAAUUCUACUUUUGCUCUUUUGAGGCGAUACAUACCUUCCUUGCUUUUUGAAACUUUAUGAGGAGAAUGAGAUGCUCUUCUUUUUCUUUCCUCACAGGUGGGUAUCUUGUACCCCUAAUUCUACUGUCGGACACUUGUCCAUUUUUACCUCACGUCUCACUUUUUCUUUCUUUCGAGGUUCUGGGCACUUGCCCCUUUUUAUUUCCUCGUUUAUUUAUAUAUAUUUUUUUCUUUUCUUCUCUUUUCUUUUUUUUCAGAGCACUCAUCUCUUGAGAUAAUAUAGCAAGUGGUAGUAGCAAGAUAACUUGAGCAUUUAUUUCACAAGGGAAAACAGAAAUAUUUUUGGCUAUUCUCUCCCGGAUUAGGAGUAGAAUAUUUUUGGGUGGUUCUGGAGAUGGACAUGGAUGGAUAUAUGUGGAUGGUACUUUCGGAGUAGAAGUUGCAUAUAUGAGUGAACGUGCAAGUGAAUCUUGAUUUAACCACAUGACAAGCUCCUAAGGGUCUACACAGCUUGACCACACUCAAUGCUCAUAAGCAGUAAAUAGUAAAUGUGUGGCUCAAAGUCUAGCAAGCAUGUAUAUAUGGCUGUGGUAGGAAUUUAAACUCUAAUCAUACAUUAACUCAUCAUGCAAUAUUUUAAAGAUUUUUCAAAGAUAAAAUUCUCCAGAAUUCUAGCAUCUCUAGGAACAGAUAAACAGCAGCUCAACCUUCCCAUAUCAUAUCCGUUAACAACUUAGAUUUCAGAUCAAGUUUUCAUCCCACAAGUUUAGAUCUCCAGCAAGCUUUAAAUUAUAACAGUUAUGUCUAAACUUGAGAGAGAACUUCAAAUUUGCAAAUUAGGCAGAGCAACUAUUCAUCAUAUCCAUGCUAGAGUUUUAUUAUUAAGAUUCAGAUUAACAUAGCCACUUUAUUUAUUAAACACACUAAGCAAAAGAUAUAUAUAUAUAUAAGCACAAAAUCUUUAUUUGGUUUUUCAUAGUUUAUGUAUUUUAAUAUUCUAAUAUAAGUAUAAAGAUAGGUAGAAAUACUUAGCGAGAUAAAUGGGGGUGCUCUCCCCCAAGCUGAAUUUUGACGUAAUUUCUCUUGAUGUAGCUAGCAGGUGGCAGAGGUGUAUUUAAAAGUCAACAGCAUUCUGACAGCGAUUAGAAUGUCCUCCGUCUGCUAGUCUUCUUGAUUCUUAAAUUCUGUGGAGCUCAAAUAGACAACAAAGCUUGUGGAACUAAUUAAAUGUUAGCAUAAAUAUCUAGCCUUCAUCAUGUUGAGCUUCCUCAAUAAAUAUUACUCCCUGUUUUUAUAUUUUUAUUUUAUAAAGCAGAAAAGAAAUAUUUAUUUUAUUUUCAUGCCACCAUAGUGAAGGUACUUAUGGGUUUUAUGCCACUCGUAUACUCACAUAGGGCUUAGUAUUUUUUUAACAUUUUUAUUUUCUUUUCAAGAUAGCAUGAUUAACUAAUAAUCUAUUUAAGAAAAGUAAAUAAUUAAAGGGAAAAGGGAAUGCAGAAAGGAUAAAUAUGGAUAACUACCGAUCUUACCUUUCGGCGAGGGUUCAAUGUUUUAAGUCUUCUUAACAAGACUUCUCACCGUGUUCAUUCUUCAGGUGCGUCAUUUGAUUCAGGUGCGGACCUUGACAUUUGCACCUCUUCGUUUGCCCAGCAGUUCGAAGCGCGGCGUUGGCAGUAUCCUGCUCAAUGUGUUUGUGCUCGUAGAUCGAGGUCCUUCACUUGGUAGAGUCUGAGAGUUAUAAAACUCCUCCAUGUUUUGCUCAAAGUGUACCUGCUCAUAGAGACAAGGCAGAGAUCAAGUGCAUGGGUCCUGUUGGUGGAAAACACCAACAGAACCAAAAGUGUAUUUGUUCUUCUCUAACCCUAAGCAUAGUGAGCAAGACAAAGUUGAUGGAUGAAAAGUUCAUGAGUCUAGCACUUAUAACAUUUGUCAGAUCAGAUCGCUCAACCUUAUGGAAAGAUAAUCUAUCUAUGUAUAUGUCUUUUUCUUUAUAUCUUUCAAUGAUUGAAUGUGUAACAUUUUAGCUCAUAUGAUUAGGAGUGUGGGAUCAUGGAGGUAGUACUAAGAACAAGGAUUAAAGGACUAAACAUGUUGAAUCAGUUGGGUUGGUUAAUCUAGAGUUGUAAAUCAUACAUGUUUGUCUCUUUUAUUUAUAUGAACGCCAGAACCAAGGAGAAGCUUAUAAAAGUGAUAGUCAAGCACCUUAAGAUGUUACCUUGCUUGAAGAGUGAUGGUACAGUAUCACCUUGUGGAAGCUUUCCUUUCUUAGCGGUGGUGCAUCGUGUUUGUGGCACCCUCCAUGGAUCAUCUCUCUAUGAUGAAUGAGCUAUGUCCUUCUUGUGCAAAUUGUUAAACUUCAUAUGUCACUCUCUUCGUCUCUGAUGUGAGUUUAUCUCAGGACUUCCCAAAUCGAUAUUGAAAGUUUUUCUGCAGGGGUUAGUCCGACAAAAAUAUACCAAUGUCUACACAAGCAGUUUUUAGUUCAAUAACCGAACUAGACUCCAUGUCUGUGGGGGUAUAAACCCCUAUACCCUUACGGCUAGACUUCAGCUAGGAAGCUUGGUCCACUACGAGACGAGUUCAAGGCUUGAUCAGACAGCCCGAGUUUCGCGCAAGGAAACAAGACGUGGAGAUCAAGCAGAAUUCUAGUCGGUUAGAAUAGGAAUUGAUAUCGAAUUAUCUAUGGCAAUUGUAACCGACUAGGAUUAGUUUCUAGAUCUGUAACCCUGCCCUCCAGACUAUAUAAGGAGGGGCAAGGGACCCCCCUAGGACAUCAUAUUCUCUCAGCACAAAUCAAUACAACCAGACGCAGGACGUAGGUAUUACGCCAACUCGGCGGCCGAACCUGGAUAAAAAGCUUGUCCGUGUCUUGCGUCACCAUCGAGUUCGUAGUUCGCGCACCGUCUACCGACAAACUACUACCGUGGGUAUACCCCAAGGUAGACUGCCGACUAGCUUUCGUCGACAGUGGCGCGCCAGGUAGGGGGUGUGCGUGCAACUUUUCCGGCGAACAAGAUGGUCACGAUCCCAGCUUCCGCGACCGUGCCCGAAGGCCUCACGUUCACCGUCGGCCAAAUCACGUGGACGACGUGCAGCGGCGGCUUCGCGACCACGGUUCCGAAAGAGGUCCAGAUCCAAUCUGAGAUCACGCCGUCUCCGACCACACGCAUGACGGCACCAAGCUCCCGACCACCGUUCCCACUCUACAAGGGAAAGGAGAUCGACUGCUCGGACCUCCUCCAAGCGCUCGAUCGCGCUGACUCCAAGCUACUCGAAGUCUCCCAACUAAUAGAUGGAGUUCUGCGCCGGCCCGACCAAGCUGCUCGAGCGGAUUUUUCGAAAUCCCGCCGGCCAACUCGUGUCGCCACACACGAAUGGCUGGGAACGUCCCUGACGAUAACCUCAACCCCCUCACGACGAUCCGUCGAGCUCAAAAAGGAAGACUAUCCUCGCGGCCUGAACAACUCGGCCUCUGUUUACUCACGGCAUGUCCAAUCCGUUUUCAGCAAAGCGGGCUGGUCGCCGACAAGGAACAAUCGCCACCAUGUCAACAUGGUGACAAUCCGAGAGCUACGGGACGGCCAGGUUUCCAGCACCAACUCAAGCACCGGCUCCGUCCCCACCGAGGUUAUAAACACCGAAGACGAGGGCUACGACCUGGAUUUUCCUUCACACCCUCCGGGUUUUCGACCAAUUCCCGAUAUUGCCCCCCCGGCGAGGGGAUAUCGUGUUCAAUGUCAGCGCCGACGAACCAGCUGUUGACGGAGAAACAGAUGACCAGAGGCAACUCCGCGAACAGCGUAACGCCGAUCGCGCCCGACGGCGUGCGGACGAGCAACAACAGAUGCCACCAAGUAACCUCAACGAUGCCUUUGACAUGGUCGGGGACCAGCCGGUCUACAAAACGCCAAGCGCCAACGUGGCUGUCGCCAUGGCCAACCUGGAUCGGCUUCCUGACACCCCCGAGUGCUAGGGAGUCCGGACCAGCAUCCGAGCACACCUGAUCGCCGCAAUGGGACAGACAGCCACUCUGCUCAAGAGAGUCCAGGACGUCUCUUAUACGGAAGCCGCCUCCGACCAGACUAAUCGUAGCCGGGCCUCACCCAGCAGGCGUCACCGCAGCCGCUCCCCCGACAACCGUCGAGGAGACUCACGGCGCGACGAUGGUGGUCGGGACGCCGAUGGCCGCCGCCAGCAGAACCGCGUACGCGGCCAAGAAGAAGAAGACCAACACAGGGAUCUCCGCCACAACAUCCCUCCCAAAGAUGCCCGGGACCGCAUCAACAGGCGCGCCGUAGAGAGAGCAGUCCACGAAAACCUGCGCCGCAUCGAGUACGAUGCGACCCACAGUCCUCCGGGCCUAAGGCAGUUCUCCUCACACCUCCGCCAGGUCGUGUGGCCCCGCAAUUUCAAGCUCGAAAAACUUAAAAAAUACGACGGCAAGGAUCACUCUUGGGAAAUCGCCGUCCGAUCAGCGGCAGGAGAUGAGCACGUCAUGGCUAACUACUUCCCCGUAGUCCUCGACCAGGCUGGUCAUCAGUGGCUUCUCGGCUUGCCCGAGGACUUCUUCGACUCUUGGGAAGAGUUACGACAGGCUUUCAUCGACAACUUCAUCGCCACAUGCGAGCAGCCCGGAAACAAGUAUGACCUUGAAAGGAUAAGAGACAGGAAGAAUGAACCUCUGCGCGAUUACAUCCGACGAUUCUCGGAUAUGCGCCUCAAAAUCCCGAAGAUUUCUCAUGACGAGGCCAUAUCAGCCUUUAUCAAGGGCUUGCGUUUCCAUGAAGCGCUGAGGAACAAGCUGUUGCGUAAGCGCCCAUCAACGGUAGCAGAGCUCCUCGCCACGGCUAAAAAUUACGCCGAUGCUGAUGACGCAGAAAAACUAAUCCGAGACGACGCGAGAGGCCCCGACCAGCCUUCUCGGCGAGACGACGGUCGUGGUCGCUACGAAAACAGAAAUCACCGCCGCUCCGACAACCGCGAUCACCGAGAGGGUUGGGAUCGGCGGCGCGACAGCCGCAACGACUUCAGAGGAAAGCGCCCUCGUGAAUACGACCACGAAGUAAAUACGGUCAAACGUCCCAACGGACGACGGGACUACCAAGACGACUACAACAAAACGUUGAAGGGACCGUGCCAGCUACACCCAAAGUCUAACCAUACCAUGGAAGAGUGCCGCGUCCUCAAAAGUAUCUAUACACGGCGGGCCGCCCAAGAGGACUCCGCCAAGAAAAAUAACAAACGCGACGGGCACGACCACGAAGAUGAGGAUGAGGACCAAGACAGGGACCCCCGACACCAAUACGUUAGCCCCACCGACGUGGUCCACUCCAUUUUCGGGGGCAAGGUCUCCACUGAGUCCAAGCGAGAAAGAAAGCUGUUAAAGAGAGCCUGCCUCAACAUAGACAGCACGGACGGGCUGAUCGCAGAUCCGAAGUUUCCCGCCUGGUCCCACAGGGAGAUCUCGUUCAGUAGGAAGGACCAGUGGGCCGCUAUCCCAGAGCCGGGACGUUUCCCACUGAUUCUUGAUCCCUGCAUCAAUAGCAUUAGAUUCGAGCGCGUGCUCGUGGACGGGGGAAGCUCCAUCGACAUCCUUUUCCGCAACAGCCUGCCCGCCCUCAAGAUAUCACCGGCACAACUAAAACCUUACGACGCCCAAUUCUGGGGGGUUUUGCCAGGUCAAAGUUCGGUGCCCCUCGGACAGAUAACAUUGCCUGUCCAAUUCGGCACACCCGAUCACUUCCGGACGGAGUUCAUCAACUUCGUGGUCGCGGAUUUCGACGGGACCUACCACGCUAUACUGGGCCGCCCAUCGCUGACAAAGUUCAUGGCAGUCCCGCACUACUCAUACCUAGUCCUUAAGAUGCCCACGGAGAAGGGUGUCCUAACCAUCAGAGGCAACGUCUACACUGCGUACACCUGCGAAGAAGAAAGCUUCAAGAUCACCGAGGCAAUUGACCUCUCAAUCCGCAUGGCGGAAACAGCAAACCAAGCCGCACAGCUGCCCCCCGACCAGCUCCGAUUACCUGAGCAGGAGACAGCCAGAAAGAAUUCGAAAUCCAAGGAGCACAAAGAAGUGCAGCUGGUCGAAGGCGACCCCGAGAAAACAGCCCUCAUCGGGGCUAACCUGGAUCCAAAAUAGGAAGACGCGCUCGUCAGGUUUCUAAGGGACAACGUGAGCGUUUUCGCAUAGAAACCCGCAGACAUGCCCGGUGUCCCACGAAACCUGAUCGAGCACUCCUUAAACGUCUCGAAGACCGCAAGACCAAUCAAGCAAAAACUGCGACGGUUCGCUCGUGACAAAAAGGAGGCUAUUAGGACAGAAAUAACACGGCUUCUAGCAGCCGGAUUCAUAAAAGAAGUGUAUCAUCCCGAUUGGCUCGCCAAUCCGGUUCUUGUACGCAAAAAGAAUAAUGAAUGGAGAAUGUGCGUUGAUUACACCGAUCUCAACAAACACUGUCCUAAAGAUCCUUUUGGUCUUCCUCGCAUCGACGAGGUGGUCGACUCAACGGCCGGAUGCGAACUCCUCUCCUUUCUAGAUUGCUACUCUGGUUAUCACCAGAUCUCGUUAAAGGAAGAAGAUCAGAUCAAAACAUCCUUCAUCACACCCUUCGGCGCAUACUGUUACACUACCAUGUCUUUCGGACUUAAAAACGCCGGGGCCACUUAUCAAAGGGCCAUCCAGCAAUGCCUCCACGACGAGAUUCGCGAUGACCUCGUCGAGGCCUAUGUGGACGACGUGGUCGUAAAAACAAGGGACGCGAGCACCCUAAUCGACAACUUAGACCGAACCUUCAAAGCACUCAAUAGGUACAAGUGGAAGCUCAACCCCAAGAAAUGCAUUUUCGGCGUUCCUUCCGGCCUACUGCUCGGCAACGUCGUCAGUCGCGACGGCAUACGACCAAACCCUUCAAAAGUCAAAGCCGUACUCGACAUGCGACCACCGAAGAACGUCAAGGAUAUUCAGAAGCUAACCGGAUGGAUGGCCGCCCUCAGUCGUUUCAUCUCAAGGCUGGGAGAAAAAGGCCUCCCUUUCUUCAAACUACUGAAAGCGUCAGAAAAAUUCUCUUGGACAGAGGAAGCCGACGCUGCGUUCACUCAGCUUAAGACCUUCCUCACUUCACCGCCUGUCCUCACAGCGCCUCAGCCCAAUGAAGACCUACUCCUUUACAUUGCUGCAACCGACAGGGUUGUUUCCACGGCAAUAGUGGUCGAGCGAGAUGAACCAGGUCAUGUCUUCAAGGUCCAGAGACCCGUUUACUUCAUAAGCGAAGUUUUAAACGAAUCCAAGGCCACGUACCCACAAAUACAGAAGCUUAUAUACGCCAUCCUGAUAACGUCAAGAAAGCUGAAGCACUACUUCGACGGCCAUCGAGUCCUGGUGACAACCAGCUUUCCUCUCGGGGACAUCCUGCGCAAUAAAGACGCCAAUGGCAGAAUCGUGAAAUGGGCAAUGGAAUUAUGUCCAUUUUCCCUAGAGUUCCAGAGUCGCACCACUGUCAAGUCUCAAGCCCUGGUCGAUUUCAUUGCCGAAUGGACGGAUCUCAACGAGCCUUCCGUUCCAGAUGUCUCAGACCACUGGUCAAUGUUCUUUGAUGGGUCCUUGAACAUCAACGGUGCAGGCGCUGGGAUAUUGUUCGUAUCACCCAACAAGGACAAACUCCGCUACGUCCUUCGGAUCCUUUUUCCGGCGUCAAACAAUGUCGCCGAAUACGAAGCAUGCUUACAUGGCGUACGACUAGCCGUCGAACUGGGGGUCAAGCGCCUCUAUGUCUACGGCGACUCCGCUUUGGUCAUCAACCAGCUCAACAAGGAGUGGGACGCAACCCACGAGAAGAUGGAUCUCUACUGCAAAGAAAUUCGCAAAUGGGAAACUAACUUCUAUGGCAUAGAGUACAUCCACGUGGUCCGGGAUAAGAACCAAGCAGCAGAUGCGUUGUCAAAGUUAGGCUCGUCUCGGGCCCAAAUCCCGCGGGGUAUUUUCGUCCAGGACAUCCACGAGCCGAGCGUAGGCUCCCCCCUGGUCGACAAACGACCCACCGAGGCAAUGCUCAUAGAUGACGCCACUCCGACAACUGGUGGGCGUGACUGGCGUACCCCGUUCAUCAAAUACAUAUCAGACGGGACAGGCUUUCAGGACAAAACAGAGAACGAGCGUCUCAUCCGACGAUCAAAGAACUACAUCCUGGUCGACGGAAAACUCAUGCGGAAAAACGCAAGCUCCGAAGUACUGCUCAAGUGCAUACCCCAAGAUGAUGGUAUCAAGCUCUUGGAAGACAUACACGCCGGAUCCUGCGGCAACCACGCCGCAUCCAGAACGCUGGUCGGAAAGGCUUUCCGAGCAGGUUUUUAUUGGCCAACCGCGGUCAGCGACGCAGAAAAACUGGUUCGGCAUUGCGAAGGAUGUCAGUUUUUCGCUAAGAGGACCCACGUACCUGCCCAUGAAAUUCAAACCAUCCCGUCGUCUUGGCCCUUUGCUUGCUGGGGGCUUGACAUGAUCGGACCAUUCAAACCAGCCCCAGGCAAUUUCAAGUUUGUCUUCGUGUUAAUCGACAAGUUCUCCAAGUGGAUUGAAUACAUGCCCCUGGUCAAAGCAACCUCCGAGAAGGCUGUGGAGUUCCUCAAUCAAAUCAUACACAGAUUCGGCAUUCCGAACAGCAUAAUCACCGACCUGGGCACUCAGUUUACUGGCACCACUUUUUGGGAUUUCUGCGAUGACAGAGGCAUAGUCAUAAAAUAUGUGUCAGUGGCACAUCCACGUGCCAACGGUCAAGUUGAACGUGCUAACGGAAUGAUCGUUGACGCCCUAAAGAAAAGGUUGUACACCGAAAACGACAGAGCACCCGGUCGAUGGAUGAAAGAAUUGCCGGCUGUGGUCUGGGGCCUCCGAACUCAGACCAGUCGAAACACAGGGGUGUCUCCCUACUUCAUGGUGUACGGUGCAGAGGCGGUCUUGCCGUCCGACAUACACUUCGGAUCUCCUAGAAUCGAGCACUUCGACCAAGCGACCGCCGACAACGCCAGAGGACUCGAAAUCGAUUGCAUGGAGGAAAAGCGUUUAGUGUCGUGUCUCCGAACAGCAAAGUAUCUCGCAGCAGUCAGGCGAUACUACAACAGGAAUGUCAAGGACCGUUCGUUCGUGGUCGGCGAUCUGGAGCUUCGAUGGAAAACAAGCCAGGAGGGAAUGCACAAGCUAUCCACUCCCUGGGAAGGACCCUUCGUGGUGACCGAGGUCACACGACCUACGUCCUACAGAUUGGCAUACCCAGACGGAACACGAGUGCCUAACUCUUGGCACAUCGACAAACUGCGACGUUUCUAUCCAUAAAGUUUUAAUGACUUUCUUCUGUAAGUAUCUCAUAAUUUUUGAUAAUGAAAUUCUCUAUUUUUGGCCCAUACCUUGUCACACACAGCACUCGGCAAAACUCCUGCAACGGACGCUCUUAGCGACAACAAAGACAAAUACGGUGACACGUCACUCAGAUAUUCUUGCAGCGCUCAAAACAACAGUCAUGACAAAAAGCAAACUUUAUUACAAACUUUACAUACAAAGUUUACAAUAAAUACCCUGACGGGCAAACACUAGUCUAUUCCUACAGACUACUUUAUUGGCCUGGCUGCUCGGGCUGAUCACCCGCCUGGCCCUGCUGCCCGGACGAAGGGGUCGGGGCCACCGGCGCCUGGCUGGUCGAGACCGCAGGCGUCGACCGCCCAUCUCCCGCAACGGACGCGCCCGACAACUCCCUGGCCGACCUAUCUGAGCUCGGCUGGUCUGGAGGAGUGGCCGUUCCGCACAGAUUGAUGUCGCCGAUCACUGUCGACGACAAGUCCAGCAGAUUACCUCGAAGUUCGUCCGCUUCCUGUGGGCCGACUUCCUUCGGGUACCCCUUCUCCAGCCUGCUCAAGUCGACCAGGGGGUAGUGGGCGCGCACCAUGCUGAGGACGUGCGCGCCGGCAAACUCCCCGGCGUCCUUCACAAACUGCUGGAGCCAAUCCCACGCCCGUUGCGCCUUCUCGACCGGGGUCAACUGCGGCGCGCGGGGCUGGCUCUCCGGGAGCUCGGGACUGAUCAGGUCUAGGACCGGGGACACUCCCUUCCAGAUCCUGCAACAGUUGACCUUCCAGGAGUCCCGGUCCUUGAUCAGCUCAUCCAGGUGCUUUUUGGUGUUCACCUUGAGCACUGCAAACGAAACGAAACGUUACUUUCGGCAUACCAGACAAAUAAAGGGGCAGGCAGCAACCAACAAGGCGGCACUCAUUACCAGAUAGCUCCCGGUGUUUUCGACCCAAUUCCUCUUCUGCUCGCCGCCCGGACUCCAGCGCACCGGCGAGCUGUUGGCUGAGCUGCUCCUUCUCUUGUUGGAGGCUCGCCACCUCCUCCUCCAAGUCUGCGUGAAUCCUAAACUGGUCAGCAAAGCAAACUAUACAAGUACACGAAGCUGCUCGGAGCGUGUGACUAACCUUCCUGCAGCCGGUACUGGUCGGCCAGACGACGAGCGAGGUCGAGACGACGCUCCUUUUCGGCACUCAUCUCGACCACCUUCUCCCCGACCUCCGCGCGCAACCGGUCUACCUCCGCGGCAAGGGCCUUGUUCUCGGCCAUGACGCCUUCUAUCUGGUCAAAGCACCGUUUCCGGUACUUCGCCGUUUUCAUUACGUCCUACAAAGCAAGGAUAUAACGACCAUGCAAGACAAGGCAAAAGAAUGCGCAGCAGUACAAAGAGCCGCUUACCUUGACUUCGUCGACAAGGCGCUUGGCCGCGCGCUCCACCCUGGCGGCCUCUUCGGUCUCGGCGAGCUCCUCAUGACCGAUAAAGUGAUCCCCGCGUUGGCGCCACACAUACACGUGUUGGCGGCCAUCACGGGGACGACCCUCGAUCUCUUCCACCUCGUCAUCGGAGGCCGCCCGGGUUUCCUCCUCCUGUGCUACGUCACCCCCGGUGGUGGUCCCAGGCAUUACUGGCCCUUGGACCAGACCUGGGGAGCCCGCAGCCGAAGAGGCUCCUGCUCGGGGCGGCGGGGGGACUUCACUCCCCCCGGCAGGAGGAGCGGUCGGAGAUCUUCCCUUCUCUGCGGAGUCAGUUGGGGGAGCCUCUCCAGCCCUGGUCGGGCUGCUUGUUGUAGUCGGCGCCGCGCUUGGGAGCCCCUCGGUGCUCCCAGGCGCGCUCGCAGCUGUUGGCUGCUCUGUGGUCUGGGGGGCCGCAUCCCCAGAACCGCGGGCAGGCUCGCCCGUUCCCUGGCUGGCAGUUUGGCCAGGGUCGACAUCCGAUGCCGCACUACAGGAACAAAAGUUAAAAAAAAAAGAUGAGUCCAAAAUACGUAAGUCGAACACUUACAGGUCUGACCGACGGUGGGUCGCGGUGAACCUCCUCCUCGCCCGGCCGGUCGGCACCUGUGCCCCCAUCUCAGCAACUUGCGGGGCAGCGGCGCCGCUGGCCACUCGAUCAGUGGCGACCGGCGCAGUGUCUGGGCGGCUCCGAGGCCGUCGAACCAACGACGGCGCAGCCUCCUCGUCGUCGUCGUCGUCGACGAUCCGCACGAGCCGACGACGCUUCGGUGCUUGGCUGCUCUCCGCCGGGAGAUCUGCCGGCAGCCCCGGUGUCGGCAAGGGAUCUGCCGGCAAUGGCCUUUUCCCCGCAACCCUCUCCUCGGAGGUCGGGACGGGGCGGGCUCGGUCUUCCUCACUGCUGGUGUAAUGAGUACACCGAGCAGCGUCCUCCUCUGGCGGGACCUCUCCCACCGGAUUUUCCAUCCCCGGUGCCAGUGAUACAUACACUGCGCACCGGUCGACAUCACCGACCUGCAAAAGCAACAGAGAUGAGUCAACUGCAGACGAUAUAUGAAUGAUCAAACAGAAUCUGCUACAUACCUUUGGUGCUGGUCGUCCUAACUUGAAGGCUUGCACCCGAUCACUGCCACGGAUGAAGCCCCCAUCCGCGAAGUUAAACAGCUCGUUCAACAGCUGUUGUACCUCCGCUUUCUCCAAGAUCUCCGACCGCAUCCUGGUCGGGUCUGCGCUUCCGGCAUACUCGUACGCCGAGUGCACCCUCUUCUGGCAGGGCAUCACCCGGCGGCAAAUGAAGUUGCCGACCACGCCAAGCCCGUCUAGGCGCGACCAGUCGAUCAGCUUCAUGAGAUCCGCCACUGGUCCGUCGAACUCCGGUCGGUCGGUCCAGCUCGCCCUCUUCUCGGGAAUGUAUCCAACGUCGCAGAACGUGGAGCUGCCCGGUUCCUCCCUGAUGUAGAACCACUUCCUGUACCAUUCGGUCAAGGAAGUGUUCCAUGGGCAAUGCAGGUAGCGAUUCUUCAUCCCAUCACGAAGGUUGAGGUAUACUCCACCUGCAACCUUGGAGCCUCCAACUGCUCCCUUCUUCCUCAAGCAGAAAAGAUACCGGAAAAGAUCAAAGUGCGGCUCUAUGCCAACAUAGGCCUCGCACAGGUGGAUGAAGGUGGAAAUAAGGAGAAUAGAGUUCGGGUGCAGAUUGCAAAUCCCGAUCUCAUAGUACAAAAGAAGACCUUGAAGAAAAGGAUGAACAGGAACACCAAAGCCUCUCUUAACGAAAUCUUCAAAAACGACGAUCUCACCGGCGCGAGGGUCGGGGUAGCUCUCCCCCUCCGGUGCCCUCCAGCCGCCGAGCUCUGCGCCGUGCAGAAGCCCCAUAUCGACGAGGUCACCAAGAGAUUUUGUGGUGCUGCGAGAUUUCUUCCACUCCUUGGCCAUCAGUUCGGCCCUCUUCCUGCAGUCGCUCUUCGCCAUUAGAGGUGCGAAUGUGGGCUGGAGUUAGGGAGAUGCAGGAGACUGGAGAAGAUGAGAGCGGAAGGUUUGAAGGCAAUGGCAGGCGAAGCGGUACAGGAGGUCCUAUUAGGCCCUUAUAAACCCGCGACCCCACCUCUCCCACUUCCUGUAUUCUCGGGAAGUGGGCAGGCCAUGCGGCGGACGCGGCGUUUCGGUUUACAAUGAUUACAGACAAUUAAGGCCGCGGAGUUUUCGUACCAAUUGAUGGUUUCCUUUUCUCAAACCAUGCAAAGAGCGGUUGUACAGUUGCCAGGUGCAGCUUUUCAUGCAUCUGUCUGACAUAUCAUCAGGAGACCGCGUCACGUCAACUUUAACUAGAAAGAUCUUUUCAAAAGUAAGAAGACACAUACGCCAGUGAGUCAACAAUCCGAGGACUGCACCGACCACCGAGCACUCGACGCUCGGGGACUGGUCGCCCAGUCUAUCAGCUCGGAACUUCAAGGACUGCACCGACCACCGAGCACUCGACGCUCGGGGACUGGUCGCCCAGUCUAUCAGCUCGGAACUCCAAGGACUGCACCGACCACCGAGCACCCGACGCUCGGGGACUGGUUGCCCAGUCUAUCAGCACGGAACUUCAAGGACUGCACCGACCACCGAGCACUCGACGCUCGGGGACUGGUCGCUCAGUCUAUCAGCUCAAAGCUUUAAAGCAUGCACCGACCACUGAGCAUUCGACGCUCGGGGACUGGUCGUACAGUAUAGCAACAUAUAAUUCCAAGAAGCACACUAAGUGCUUGGGGACUGGUCGAUUGGUCUUUUCAAUUGCAGACGAGCAUGACAUGCUCGGGGACUGGUAAGUUCAAUUUUUUAGACCUUGCUACAAGGCUCAUACUUCGCCUUCCAGCAAGCUCGGGGACUACAUCGGUACGAUGCAUCUAGCGAUGCAUCUCAGUCUCAAAACUACUUUGGGGAAUUUUCUUUUGACCCUGGCACCACGUGCCUACGCCACCUACUACCAGGCUCGGGGACUAAGUGGGCACACUUCACCUAGCGGUGAAUUUGCUUGCUUUUUUGAUGCUUCUACAUUUCAAAAAGGCAAAGUGGGCACACUUCACCAGGAAAGAAAUUUUUUUUUAGAGCACCAUGCAUUCUUCGAACAACCUGCUUCUUCGAUGUCAAUGUUGGUCAACUGUCUUUCGAGUUGGUCAAGGAACCGUUGCAACUGUUUGGGCGAUUUUCCCGCUUAUUGAAGACGACAGGCCUCGCUGAUCGAAGAAGCUCAAGACGGCGUGUUGCAUCACAAUACAUGGCGCUCGGGGACUAGCUGUGGGGGUAUAAACCCCUAUACCCUUACGGCUAGACUUCAGCCAGGAAGCUUGGUCCACUACGAGACGAGUUCAAGGCUUGAUCAGACAGCCCGAGUUUCGCGCAAGGAAACAAGACGUGGAGAUCAAGCAGAAUUCUAGUCGGUUAGAAUAGGAAUUGAUAUCGAAUUAUCUAUGGCAAUUGUAACCGACUAGGAUUAGUUUCUAGAUCUGUAACCCUGCCCUCCAGACUAUAUAAGGAGGGGCAAGGGACCCCCUAGGACAUCAUAUUCUCUCAGCACAAAUCAAUACAACCAGACGCAGGACGUAGGUAUUACGCCAACUCGGCGGCCGAACCUGGAUAAAAAGCUUGUCCGUGUCUUGCGUCACCAUCGAGUUCGUAGUUCGCGCACCGUCUACCGACAAACUACUACCGUGGGUAUACCCCAAGGUAGACUGCCGACUAGCUUUCGUCGACAAUGUCUAAUCAGAUUAAAGAAGGCAGUUUAACCUAAGCACCAUGCUUAAUUUUAAAGCCAAUAGAAGUAUGUGCAGUACUUCCAAACUAACACUUACUAGUAAAUAGACAAAGGUAACAUGACAGCAUUUAUAGAGAUCUACUCAAGUGGAGAUGAAGUAGUGUGAUUAGUAUUUAACAAAUUGAGCAUGUCUCAAAGGUAGGGACAACCAACAUAGCAACAUGGCAAAGGAUGUUUUUAUGUAAAGUACUCCCCCAAGCUUGAAUUUUGCAGAAUUCAAGUUUGGAUGAAUUUAAUUCAGUGUUGCAUGAUGAUUGGUUGGACAUACCUUGUACUUGCUUGUCAUUCAUCCGAUCUUCUUGUUCCAAUCCUGGAAAGGUUAGUGACAAGAAUACCCGAAGGAAUAUUUUUACAAUUAUCCUUAUAUGCUCAAUACACAAGGUAAUGUUGCAAAUAAUUAAAAACUCAUGUUAUGAUCUGAUCAGUGCUUAUUUUAGGACACUAAGCUUGUCCUUGGGAAACCAUCAAUUUAUGUCGGCGAAGUGGUUUCCCUUCAAACGCUGACCUAUAUCAAGAUCAACUCAACGAGAUCUGCAAUAUUUAUUAUAGACAUAUGCAUCGACAACCGCCCUUUUAAAGUUUUUAUAAAUAGAAAGGAAGAGGGGGUUGGAGAUCUCAAAUGUGGUGAUGUUGGAGAGACCAAUAGAUUGGGAAGAUGUUUCAUAUGAGCAUGGAGUAAAUGAAGUGGUUAUGAAAUAAAUUCCAUGCUCAUUAAUGUUAUCUUCGUCUCUAAUCUGAAUGUUUGGAGUUUCUCCUGGAUUGGUCUCACUUAUGUCCUCUUCUAUAUUUGGAUGAAUCCCAUCUUCAAGGGAGUCAAGAACUCACCAUUUGAAAUUGAACCAAAGUCAGAAUUCAUUAAGGCUUCUUCCUUAUCCAUCCAUUCUACACAUUCUAGCCAUUUAGAACUUGUGAUGAGGAAAGGGGAGGUGUUAGAAUUUUCAAUAUGGCUUAGCUCUCCUUCACUUGAUAUGUCAUCCUCGACUUCCUCAUAAUAGGAACCAGGACAUUCUCUAAGAGAACCAUUAUUGCGAGGAUUUGAAUUAUCCCUGCUUGAAGGACUCUUAUGGAACCAGAAGUCUAAACCAUCAGCAUCUGAAAGAUUUAAGGUCGGAAUUCCUUCCUCCCUUGGAGAAUUUUGGGGUAUUGAUGGUUUAGGAUCGAUAGCUAAAGUUUGGAAUUGAAGUGGUUGUGAUCUGGCUAUCGAAACUUCUUCUUCUUGUCUAGGAACUAGUUCUGUCUCUUUCUCAGGGAUAUAAAAGCUAGGAGACUUUCCACUUAAUAAAUCAAUCAAAUUCCAAGCUUCACUAGCAGGUAGGUGAUAGAAGGAUCCUCUAGAGGCUGUAUUCAAGGUUUGCUUAUUUUCCCCACUAAGGCCCUCAAAAAAGUGAAUUAGAAGAACUUCUUCUGGAAUAGAAAGCUUUGGGCAGUGAGAGUAAGGUUAAUAAAGCGGUCCCAUGAUUUCCUAAGAGAUUCUUCUUCCAGUUGCCUAAAAGAAAUAAUCUCACGCCGAAGUUCCGCCACUUUGGAGAUUGGAAAAUAUUUUAAAAUAAAACUAUUAUGUAACUCCUUCCAAUCUCCAUGAACACUCCCUACUUUGAGUUUAUACCAAUGUCUAGCUUUUCCCGUUAAAGAGAACGGAAAGAGCUUCCAUUUAUGGGUCUCAUCAGACAUGCCUUCAAUGCGAAGGAGGUCACAGACUCGAUAAAACUCUCUUAGGUGUGUGUAUGGGUUUUCCUCACCUUCUCCUGAGAAAGGUUGUUUUUGAACAAAUUCUAUGUAUUCGGGGUCUAUCUCAAAACUAGAUGCUAUGAUAGGCUUUGAAGAUUUUGGUGGUUCGAGAUGUGUGCCCGUAGGUCUAUGAAAUUCAUAGAUAGACGUGUUUGAAUUCAUGAUAGACCAGAGAUCAAGGAUUAGAUAAGAAGAAAGAUUAGCAGAGAUGAGGCAAAGGAUAAAAGGAAAAAAAAAAUUUAUUUUUUUUAGAAAAUGAUUAAGCUAGUUCGUAGUCAACUCAGCAACCGUUUCCCUGGCAACGGCGCCAAAAAAUGCUUGUUGACACUUGCUAACACCACUUGAAUACUAGGUUGUCAUCCCCAGCAUGGCACUAGAGUGUACUAUGGUAUUUAUACGCACAGAGAUAAUCCGCAAGCGCACGGAUACCGUUAUAGCUUUUUCCCGGUUAAAGGUUUUAUCGUAUCCACAGGGAAAAGGGAGAACCAACUACGCUCUAACUUAACCAGGAUAGAUAGAUAAGUGUAAAUAGGAAAGAUGGUAGAAUCGAAUAAGAACAAUAUUAAAGGUAAGAUAACAAUGAGUGAUAAUAUGGGAAUAGAGAAUAGAGCAAUUCUAGUAUAUGGGCGAUGGUAGCAGAAUAGAGAGUAUAACUAUGGUUUCUCUACUUCAAAGGGGUAUGUCUAUGUCUGGGACGAACCACGUGAUAAGAGUACACCACAAAGGAUGCUUAUCCUUAGGCCGAUAAACCCUACCCGUCCUGCUAACAAGAGGUGGACUACAGGGGACCAACGUAACUGCCACCUACGCGGCCUACCACACGAUCCAGCUAGACAGGGGAUAUCCACAAGUAAUCUAGAUCUAAGCACCUCGCUUACACCUAUACUACAACUCUCACCUAUAGUGUCCUAUAGAUUAAAGUACUCAAAAGAGUUGUGAACCAGAACAUACAUAAUUAGUAAUUGCAUAAUGAAUUAGAAGUAGAUUACCAGAGUCAUCCCAUGAGCAAGCUUGAUUAGAGCUUGAUCAUGACGAAGUACAACCGGAGGAAGAACCGACAGGCCGGCCUCUCCUCUAAUCCUCCUUCGCUCUCCAUCUUGCUACUAUCUAGAUCUACUCUAGUUUAGAGAAGAGUGGAGAGCUCUCAUCUCUAAACCCUAGCUUUUGCUCUGUCUAUGAAUAAUGAAUAAUGAUCAAGGGGGUGCCUCCUCCAGGGGCCAGGGGGUGUGGUUAUAUAGUCUUUUCAGAUGAAUCUGGGCCGUCAGAUCAAACCGACAUUGAUCGUGUGGUUUUCCUUGAAGUAUUAGGCCGGUGGAGCAUGAUCCGCGAAGUUGAAGCUGAUUGGUUACUGUAGCUGGGCGGGCGCCCAAGGGACUUGGGCGGGCGCCCUGCCCCCGGGCCCGAUCGGCCUCCCGUUCGUUCCCGUGGUUCUGGAGUCUUCUAGAUGGUAGAAAAUUGCGCGGCACGUUAAUAUCUCUAUGUAAACCCGACGUGUGGGCCUUUCUUUCAUAUUUCCUGAUAACCCCCUGCAGAAAUAGACAAACACCAAAACUCGUGGAAUUCUGUCAGAUAAAACCCUAAGUCUAGAUGUUGAUUUCAUUUGGAUCCUUUUCUUUGUUUAUUUGAUAAUUAAAUUUGAUACUUAAGGACCGUCAACAAUUGUCAGUGAUAACCCUAUUCUAGUAGAUAUUCAUGUAUGGUGGAGAGUUAAUAGAUAACAAAUAUUGUGGGUUAAGAGGUGUCAACAAUUACCCCACACUUAGGCUUUUACUCGUCUCGAGAAAAAGAUGGGUUCUAUUAUAAAGAAUAAACAUUCAAUGCAUAACUUGGAAAUUAAAUUAUAUAAAACUAGCCUAGCUACCAUGCAUUGUGGAAUUUUAAAGUGUUUUAUCAUGAAUUCUGUAGUGAUUGUGGAGUAGGAUAGCUUAAAACAGAUUACUCUCUUUCUUUAAUUAUGUCUAUUGGAGAGUAAGUGGAGUUUGCAAAUAACACAUAGCUUUGACCUUCUCUUAUUUGUAGUGACAUCAACGGUUGUUAUAUUAAUUUGAUAUUCAUAACCGGGGAGAGAAAUAUCAUAUUCCUAGAUUAGAAAAAUCAUCCACUCCUUGGCAUAUUAUGUUGGAGGAACCAUGAGCUCUUUUUUAACUAAUUCUACUUAUGAGCACAUGUUCAUAUUUCUUUUCUUAUUGAAUCAAGGUUCUGGACACUUGUCCCUUUUUAUUUCCUCGUGAUCUAUCUUUUUGAGGUUUCAGACACUUGUCCCUUUUUAUUUCCUCGAAUUUCUUUAUGAAUAGCUCAUGCCUCCUUCAUAAUAAUGCUUUUGUUGGUGCAAAAGCUGAUCUGCAAACACAAAGGGCUAAUACCCGAUUCAAACAUUAAGGCGUGCCAGCCAAUUUGACCUUACUAUCGGCAAAGGUGGUAACUCGAAUACUUUGGUCCUGACAACAGCAAUGCGCCUGGAUGUCACGGCCAAGAGGUACUCACGCGGAACUCAAGAAUACGCCGAGCUUAAGUCAACGAAUUACUAAGAACUCGUAGUAAAAAGGAAAAUAUGACGAAGUUGUCGAAAAAGUAGAUGCUGGAAUAUGAGUAAAAAAUUAUGUUUGAUUGAUUGAUAGAUAUCUCAUUACAAGGCCCUAGGGUCUACAUUUAUACCCUGCUCAAAGAUCUACAAUCAGACACGACUAGGACUCGAAUUCCAAAUUAAACAGAAUCCGUGUACAAAACGAAUUUAAAUAACUAAGGAAAACAUAAAACCACCCCCCUUGUAACCGACCGGGACACCGCCACAGAUCAAUCGGCAACCUCCACACUUUCCUUCAGAGUCAUCGGCAGUCUUCCUGUUAUGGCCAUCGGCAAACACCAAUAUUAAUCAUCAGCAAGAACACGUCACCACCUCUGGACUUAGUCAUAUUCAAUCGUCUCUUCAUCGGCAACUACCCUCAUCGGCAACUCUUUUGUAGGCUAUUUACCGUUGCUCCACCUGCCGAUCUAUACUCUACUGGUCUCUGGGUACGCGUCCAAAAACGGUGUCAACACAUGCCCCCCAAUUUCGGAGUAUGGAAUCAUUAAUGCUCCGAAAUUCUCUGCAGUAAUGAUGCCUUUCCGCAAUUAAUUCUCCCAAUUUGGUAACCGACCGUUUAAAUCUGAACAACCUCGGCCCGAUUCUCCUGCAGGUUCCUCGAAUUCCUCAACCUUCCGAACCGGAUCUCUCCACUUUAUGCGUCCAUCGGCAAUAUUACCGUUAGAGGGAACUGCCGAUGGACCGACCAAGAAAUCCCGCACAGUGAAAUAUCUCCAGAUCAUGACCGCUUCCUGUCAAAUCACCUGCGCAAUCCCUUGAUUACUGUGCGAACAGUUACCAUAUCCACCUGAGUAUUGUAACACCCCAGUGUUAUGGUUGCUUUAAUCAUGUGCAUAGUAUGAGCAUCAUCAUCUACUCAAAGCAUAUCAUGAUCAUCAUCUAUCUUGAGCCAUGUCAUUCUAUGCAAAUAUGUAAUCUAAAUUGCUUAAAUAGGCUUCCUAUGCUUAUGUUGGAGUGAACCAUGCUUGUGUUUGUGCUCUAUGCCUUGGUAAUUAGUUUAUUUAUGUUUAACUUAACCUUGGGAACAAUGUUCAUGUUGAUCACUUCUCCAAAAUAAUCAUUUAAGUCAUACUUGUGCUAAUAGGCCCUAGAAACCUCUUUUGCUUAGGCUUUUAAAAAGUGUUUCAUAAAAUGUUUGCAUGUCAAAACUUUCUACAGCAAAGUUGUAGUAAAUUUUAUAAGGAACAAAAGUUGUUUUAUGGCCAUCUCAUGAAAAUGACCACAAAUAGCUCAAAAGUGACCCACAACGCAAAUUUGGGGCUGUUUCCAACACUAGUUUGCUCGAUCGAUUUUGAAAACUUUAUAACUCUCAAUCCAUGCCGAUCUAGCUCUUGCUCCAGUUGAAAGAGUUGUAGAUCUCGGCUAGUACUCCAACUUUGUCAACUACAUCAUCUCCUAACUCGCUCUGGUUUGGAAGUUAUUCAUCGUUGAAGUCGCUCUGUCAGACAGUCGCCGUUUUCUCUGAAUCGAAGCCGAGCUCGCCGUCGUGGAUGGCCAGAGCGCCACCUGUCCGCCAGAUGGCGCCCAUAUGCCGGCGAUGGCCCCGCUCGUCAGCUCCCAGCGCGCGCAUGACGUCCACGGUGACGCCCCGAGCAGAGUGGACGCGUCCACUCUCGCUUCCUCGCCCUCUCGCGCCUGUAACCCGACCGCAGCGAGCUCACCGUCGCGAGCUCACUCCGGCGAGCUCGUGUGCGCUCCUCGCUGCGUCUCAGUCCACCAAAUUCCACCCACAGCUCCGCCAUGAGCCGCUCUUCACUUCCCACCCUCUAACUCGCCGCGAAACCCACCGGUGAGCCGCCAUUUCCUUCUUCCCCCAACUCGGGUCGUCGUGACCAUCUUUUCCGGCGAACUCAAUGCCGGGCUCUGUGAAGCCGCUCGUCUUCUCUGGUUAGGUCCGAGAGGUAGAGUAGGUUCUCAGCGAGCGUUUGCGCCACUUGGUGGACGCUCUACCGAACUCUCCGUCAGCGGACACGAUGCGCAGCGCCGCCGUGUUUCCGCCGGAGAUGGGUGCUCUCGUGGCCAGCGUGCUCCACGAGGUUUCAAGCCAAGCCGCGUACAAAAGUUCCGCUUGCUUCGGUUGACUGAAGGUUUGAAGGCAGAGUAUGUAGCUCAUCAACUGCAGGGUCCAACAGGCAUCUGGUGGAAUCAGUAUCGGGAAGCUCUUCCAGCCGACACUGUGCUUGACUGGAAUCUUUUCCGUGAUGCUUUUAAAGGGCAUUUCAUUCCUCCUGGUGUCAUGGAGAUGAAGCAUACUGAGUUCAUGCAAUUAACCCAGGGUAACAAAACUUUGAAGGAGUAUUUGCAUGCUUUCAAUCAUUUGUCUAGGUAUGCUCCAGAGUUUGUGAACACUGAGGCGAAAAAGAUUGCUAGUUUCAAGCGGGGUUUGGGCCCCAAGUUGCUGAAGACUAUGGGCCGCACUAAGUGUGCAACUUUCAAUGAGUUUGUCAGUGAUGCUCUCACUCAAGAGAACUAUAACACUGUGUACACUGCUACCAAGACUCGCAAGAGGGCUUUUGAGGCCGGGACAGGGUCAUCUCAGUCCAAGGCUCCAGUGGCAGCUAAGCCACCGUUCCGCGCUCCAACGCCUAACCAGCGGUACCGCCCUCCGGUGAAGAAGAAUCAGGCGAAGACGGGUUUUCGCAAGGGGUACUCUAUUGCUCUUCCUAAGGGCAACACGGGUCCCAACUAUGCCAAGACUCCACCUGCCAACCGUCUGUGCUGGAACUGCAAUCAGACCGGGCAUUGGCAGAGCAACUGUCCUUACCCGCCAAAGAAGGUCAAUCAAGGGAAUGUCCGUCAGGGGCGUGUUCACUACACUACUGUAGAAGCAAUCCCUGCUGGUGAGGUAGUUACGGCUGGUAAGUUUCUAGUCAAUCAACAUGACGCACUUGUGCUUUUUGAUUCAGGAGCAUCGCAUUCUUUUGUGAGUUCUGAAUUUGUGUCUAACAAUAAUAUCAAGGCAUUUACACUUGAUAAGGGCAGUUAUUGUAUUAGUGCUGCGGGAAAUGAUAUUUCCACCAAUCAAGUGGUUUUGGGGGCAACUCUGGAAAUAGGAGGCCGUCAGUUUCUUGCUGAUUUGGUUGUUCUACCCGGUGUGGGCAUAGAUCUAAUUCUGGGGAUGAAGUGGAUGAGUGGCAAUGGAGUUCUUAUCGACACCACCACUCAUGUAGUGAUGUUGAAAGACCCAAACACCAAGAAGGCAUUUCUAGUGCAACUUCCUCGGGAUAUUCAAAUCCCUAGCACUAUGAAUGCAGUUACAUCUAAGGCUAUUCAGGAUAUUCCGGUGGUGUGUGAGUUCCCGGAUGUUUUUCUUGAUGAUUUGCCCGGGCUUCCUCCGGAUCGGGAUGUGGAGUUCAAAAUUGAAUUGAUUCCCGGUACCGCUCCUAUCUCUAGAAGACCUUAUAGAAUGCCACCCAAUGAAUUAGCUGAGCUUAAGACCCAGUUGAAUGAGUUGUUGAAGAAGGGUCUUAUCCGUCCUAGUUCAUCUCCGUGGGGUUGUCCGGCUAUCUUUGUGAAGAAGAAGGAUCAAUCCUUGUGCAUGUGUGUGGACUAUCGUCCCCUAAAUGCGGUGACCAUCAAGAAUAAAUACCCUCUUCCUCGCAUUGAUAUCUUGUUUGAUCAGUUGUCUAAAGCCAAGGUAUUCUCCAAGAUUGACUUGCGAUCUGGGUACCAUCAGAUCAAGAUCCGUCCUGAAGAUGUACCUAAGACAGCUUUCUCGACAAGGUAUGGGUUGUACGAGUAUCUCGUCAUGUCCUUCGGUCUUACAAAUGCACCUGCUCACUUCAUGUAUCUCAUGAAUUUGGUGUUCAUGCCCGAAUUGAACAAGUUUGUGGUGGUCUUCAUUGACGAUAUCUUGGUAUACUCCUGCAAUGAAGAGGAGCAUGCAGAGCAUCUGCGUAUAAUGUUGUCGCGUUUGCACGAACAUCAGCUUUAUGCCAAGUUUAGCAAAUGCGAGUUUUGGCUGAAGAAAGUACCUUUCUUGGGCCAUGUCUUAUCUGAAGAAGGCAUAUCGGUGGACCCAACCAAGGUGCAAGAGGUGCUGGAUUGGAAAGUUCCAACUUCGGUACACGAGGUUCGGAGUUUUCUUGGUCUGGCUGGAUAUUAUUGUCGAUUCAUUCCUGAAUUCUCAAAGAUAUCUAAGCCUAUGACUUGUCUACUUCAGAAGGAUGAGAAGUUUGUGUGGACGCCUGAGUGUGAAGAGGCAUUCCACAAGUUGAGGACAUUGCUGACAUCAGCUCCUGUCCUAGCUCAACCUGAUAUCGAAAAGCCCUUCGAUGUCUUUUGUGACGCGUCAGGCAUUGGUUUAGGCUGUGUGUUGAUGCAGGAAGGUCGCGUUAUCGCGUAUGCCUCGCACCAACUUCGAAAGCAUAAGGUUAAUUACCCUACUCAUGACUUAGAAUUGGCAGCAGUUGUUCUUGCUUUGAAAAUCUGGAGGCAUUAUUUGCUGGGUAAUCUGUGUAAUAUCUACACCGAUCAUAAAAGCCUCAAGUAUAUCUUCACUCAACCUGAACUGAACAUGCGGCAGCGAAGGUGGCUUGAGUUGAUUAAAGAUUAUAAUCUACAAGUGCACUAUCAUCCGGGCAAGGCGAACGUGGUAGCGGAUGCCUUGAGUCGGAAAGCGCACUGUCACUCAAUCCAAGUCGAAGAUCUGUUGUUAUCACAUCUUAUGCAUCCAUUUGUGCUCCACCAGAUUUCUUUAGAGAGUGCUCUUCGCAAUCGAGUCAUCGAAUUGCAGCAAUCAGAUGUAGGCAUCCACCAUAUAAAGAGGAAAAUGAAGGAAGAGGAAACCAAGCAUUUCCGGAUCGAUGAGAAUGGGAUUCUUUGGUUCAAAGAUCGACUAGUGGUCCCAAAAGACCGCGAGCUGCGAAAUCAGAUAUUGUCUGAAGCUCAUUCAUCCAAAUUGUCUAUCCAUCCUGGUAGUAGCAAGAUGUAUCAGGAUCUAAAACCUUUGUUUUGGUGGACAAAGAUGAAAAAGGAGAUCGCUGCUUUUGUCGCUCGAUGUGACAAUUGUUGUCGUGUGAAGGCUGUUCACAUGAAAGCUGGUUUGCUUCAACCCUUGUCAAUUCCUGGUUGGAAAUGGGAAGAAGUCAGCAUGGAUUUCAUCAGUGGGCUCCCAACUUCUGUUAAGGGCUACGACUCCAUCUGGGUGAUUGUAGAUCGUUUGACCAAGGUUGCUCAAUUUAUUCCAGUCCGAACUGACUAUCGUCCACAUCAAUAUGCAUAAUUGUAUUUCGAGCACAUUGUUCGUCAGUAUGGUGUGCCUCGAACUAUUAUAUCAGAUCGUGGACCACAGUUCACUGCUCGUUUUUGGGAAUGUCUGCAUGAGCAGAUUGGUACUCAUUUAGUCCGUAGCUCUGCUUAUCAUCCCCAAAUGACUGGUCAAACUGAACGGGUUAACCAAAUCUUAGAAGACAUGUUGAGGGCAUGUGCUCUCUCUUCGAAAGGUUCUUAGGUUAAGUGGCUGCCAUUAGCUGAGUUCUCCUACAACAAUAGUUAUCAGGAGAGUAUCAAGAUGGCUCCAUUUGAAGCCCUGUACGGUCGAAAGUGUCGAACCCCGUUGAAUUGGGUAGAAGCCGGAGAACGAAGGUAUUAUGGCAUCAAUUUCGUGAACGAAGCAGAGCAGAAGGUCCGUACCAUUCAGCAACAUCUGGAAGCUGCUCAAGCUCGUCAGAAAAGUUAUGUCGACAAAAGAAGGAAGCUGAUUGAGUUUUCAGUUGGCGACCAUGUGUAUAUCAAGGUGUCUCCGAUGAAGGGUGUACAAAGGUUCGGGGUCAAGCGAAAGCUUGCGCCUCGUUAUGUGGGACCUUAUCGGAUUCUCGAAAAGAAAGGGAAUGUGGCGUACAAAGUUCAACUUCCAGUUGCGCUUCGAGCUAUUUUCCCUGUCUUCCACGUAUCACAAUUAAAGAAGUGCCUUCGUGUACCGGAGGAACAAGUGGAAGUUCGAGAUAUCAAGUUGAAGUCAGACCUGGUGUAUGAGGAGAAACCCGUAGCGAUUCUUGAUCGCAAGGAACGGGAGACUAGUAAUCGUGUGGUUAAGCUCUACAAGGUGUUGUGGAGUAACCACGGGGAGGAAGAUGCCACUUGGGAGACGGAGGAUUAUUUAAGAGAAGUUUACAAAACAUUCUUCGAAAAUCAGUAAGCUUUCAAAUCUCGGGAUGAGAUUUUUGUAAGGGGGGAGGGCUGUAACACCCCAGUGUUAUGGUUGCUUUAAUCAUGUGCAUAGCAUGAGCAUCAUCAUCUACUCAAAGCAUAUCAUGAUCAUCAUCUAUCUUGAGCCAUGUCAUUCUAUGCAAAUAUGUAAUCUAAAUUGCUUAAAUAGGCUUCCUAUGCUUAUGUUGGAGUGAACCAUGCUUGUGUUUGUGCUCUAUGCCUUGGUAAUUAGUUUAUUUAUGUUUAACUUAACCUUGGGAACAAUGUUCAUGUUGAUCACUUCUCCAAAAUAAUCAUUUAAGUCAUACUUGUGCUAAUAGGCCCUAGAAACCUCUUUUGCUUAGGCUUUUAAAAAGUGUUUCAUAAAAUGUUUGCAUGUCAAAACUUUCUACAGAAAAGUUGUAGCAAAUUGUAUAAGGAACAAAAGUUGUUUAAUGGCCAUCUCACGAAAAUGAUCACAAAUAGCUCAAAAGUGACCCACAAGGCAAAUUUGGGGCUGUUUCCAACACUUAGAAAAUUUUCUAAGUCCUGGAACGAAACCAGUUUGCUCGAUUGAUUUUGAAAACUUUAUAACUCUCAGUCCAUGCCGAUCUAGCUCUUGCUCCAGUUGACAAAGUUGUAGAUCUCGGCUAGUACUCCAACUUUGUCAACUACAUCAUCUCCUAACUCACUCUGGUUUGGAAGUUAUUCAUCGUUGAAGUCACUCUGUCACACAGUCGCCGUUUUCUCUGAAUUGAAGUCGAGCUCGCCGUCGUGGAUGGCCAGAGCGCCACCUGUCCGCCAGAUGGGGCCCGUACGCCGGCGAUGGCCCCGCUCGUCAGCUCCCAGCACGCGCAUGACGUCCACGGUGACGCCCCGAGCAGAGUGGACGCGUCCACUCUCGCUUCCUCGCCCUCUCGCGCCUGUAACCCGCCCGCAGCGAGCUCACCGUCGCGAGCUCACUCCGGCGAGCUCAUGUGCGCUCCUCGCUGCGUCUCAAUCCACCAAAUUCCACCCACAGCUCCGCCGUGAGCCGCUCUUCACUUCCCACCCUCUAACUCGCUGCGAAACCCACCGGUGAGCCGCCAUUUCCUUCUUCCCCCAACUCGGGUCGCCGUGACCAUCUUUUCCGGCGAACUCAAUGCCGGGCUCUGUGAAGCCGCUCGUCUUCUCUGGUUAGGUCCUAGAGGUAGAGUAGGUUCUCAGCGAGUGUUUGCGCCACUUGGUGGACGCUCUACCGAACUCUCCGUCGCCGGACACGAUUCGCUGUGUUUAUGUGGAACUAUUACGAUCUUGGUUUUUUGCGACUUGGUUUGAAGUCCUUCGUGAUUUCAAUUGACUACCGGGAUUAUAUGGGCUCAAGUUUGGAAACUUGAUUUCAUUGUGGAUCGUUUCUACACUUGAACUCUUAUAAUUUGGUCGGUUCUGUGACAAGUAUCCUCAGAUUUCACGGAUACGGUGAAGAGAUAAGUCAAAUUUUCCCUUGCCCGUUUUGUCCUAUAAAUACUUCCUUCUCGGAUACUCCUUCUCCAUCGCAUCAUUCUACAGCCCCAACUCUACUUUCCUGGCGGUGGCACUGUUCGAGAGCUCCAAGAACUCCAACAAGAACUUCCUCCAACAACUCCCAAGUUUUCGAUAUUCUCCCCUGCAAGUAGAUGGCCAUCAACUUCGUCGUUCCUGAGGUCAGCGUACUGCCCUUUUUCCCGUACUUUUACUGUACCCCUGUUCAUCUGCAAUCUGUCUUACCGAAUCCUUUUUCUUUUUGUUCUUCUUUUCACUCCCAAAAAUUUCUAGGAUUUGGCCGAUAAAAUCGUUAUUCCUACCGAUCAACCCCAUCUCCAAUUCCUUGGUCCACUAGGAAACUUGGAUCCCACCGAUCUUAUAAACGCAAAGACAAACAGAAUCCCUUUUAGAGCCGAGAAUUUCUCUCUAGAUCUAUGGAAAGAUGUUUUCUGUUCCUGGCCUAGUCCUACUAAGGGAUGGAAGGAUUGGUUCCUGAGAGUCAGUAACUCAAAUGAGGUCCAAUGGGGUGAACGGAAACUGGAUCAGUGCAUUAGAUUGUCUCUUGCCGAUAUGGAGAGAAAUGAGUCACUACUGAUAGCUACCUCAUACUUUUGGUCAGAUACACUCAAUGCUUUUGUGUUUGGCCAUGGCCCUGCUUCUCCUACACUUGCCGAUGUGCUUAUGCUCACCGGCUUAAAUAUAUCCACUGCCGAUACCACCCACCUGUUUGAUACCAAACCCAGUGCUAAGGUGGAAACUCGUUGUAUCGGCGGUUGGUCAGGGUACAUCCAGAAAUACCGAAGAACAUGCCCUGUCAAUAUAAAAGAACAGACCACUUUUCUGAACAUGUGGCUGGAUAAAUUCGUAUUCUGUGGCCGAUCGGCAGGACCAACUUCUAUUUACUUAUCGGCAGCAGAAAGAUUAGCCAAUGGCGGCCGAUUUCCUCUUGGCCGAUACUUGCUUGGCUCGGCUUAUCACCUCCUCCAUCAGGUAGCCCAGAAACUAUUGCUUGGUCAACCCAUCGGCAACUUAGGGGGUCCCUGGUGGUUUAUCAACAUGUGGCUUAGUCUUCACAUGCACAAACACCUUGAGUUCGACCUCUUUACACAGCGCUUCCCCAGGGAUAUAGUCGAGGAUUAUGAACUAGGUGAAGAAGAAUCGGCGACUCGUUCCCCUCUGAACUUUGGCGAAGCCGCCAUAGUUUUGCCUGGCACAGGUGGCAACGCAGACCAGGUUAGCCGAUUCUUCCAAACCCUGUAUGAGGGUUUGACCAGGGAACAGCGGGCAUGGAUGCCCUAUGAAGAUCCAGACACCAGAUUCCCUCUGACUUUCCACCCCUUCAAUGAUGCUCUCCACAAGGAUCGUGAGGUGAUGAUGGCAAUUAUCACCCCAGAGCUAUACCGGUAAACUUCUUUGGCAGUGGGAAAGCUUCUAAUGUGACUUAUGAGUUCUACAAUCCAUCGGCACUAGCUCGUCAACUGGCUUUUGGCCAACUGCCGAUUGCACUUUGCUACGCCGAUGUGAUAAAGCCGAGGGAGAUUAUCACCAGCCAUCUGGAAUGGAUCAGGGUAGCCCAACUUCCACCAAACGCCGAUACAGAUGUCGAUCUAUCGGCUUGGAUCCCAGCUCUCUUCAUCACUCAGGCAUACAAACAGUGGUGGGAAGAAUGGAAAGAGCACCUGUUCUGUAGAUCGGCUCUUACAUACCGUGGCAUAAUCGACCCUCAAUACAAAGUCCCUGAUAACACUAUAAGUACUUCUAAACCGAUGUUUCAAUCCUCUCAUUUUCACUUUUCAUCGGUAUCUUACUUCCUUGUUAUAUGCAGGUCAAUGACACACCCCCAUUGGUCAGCAGGAGUGGCAAGCCGAUUGAGCUCCUUCCAUCGGGUACGAUCUCUUUGAUCGGCAACAACGCUCCAACUCUGGCUGCUAUAAUGCAUCGUGGCGUGCGUCUCAAGAAAGUUACCACCAAGCGGGCGAAGAUAUCCCCAUCGGUAGCUGCUUCUACCCUAGCACAAGCCUUCAAGGUAAAUUUUUGACUUCUUUUACUCAUACCGAUUCUAUCCUGAUACUUAUUACACUUGUACUCAUGAACUUCUCACUGUUGUAUCAGCACACCGGUACAUCGGCAAAGACCAGAAGCAUGACUGCCGAUGCCCCCCAGUCCAGUCAACCGAAGAGAAAAGGUUCCAAGAGUACCAGAUUACAAGCAAAGCGCCAGAGAACAGUAACGCCUUCUCCUCCCCCAGUAUCUCCGAUUCCAGUAGAAUCAUCCCCCUCUUCUCCAGAAAUCCAGACACAGCAGAUUCCAUCUCCUCCUCAGUCACAAGAAGAACCCCAAGUGGAAGAGCCCCAGCCAAAAGUACCUCAGCCAGAAGAAAUACCGGCUGAUGUACACGAGCAGACUACCGAUCCAGCAAGCCUAAUCAUAGCAUCGGUAGUCUCCUCAAUCCAGACAAGCACUGCACCCCCUCAAGGUAAUAUACUUUCCAUUUACUGCCGAUGAACCUAUUUUUCCACUUUAUUAAUUGCUUCUGUCAAUCUUUCAGCUGACAUAGUUUCAUCGGCAAUUCUAGCCGAUCAGCCCGUGGUUCCAUCGGCGUCAUCUAGUCAGAGGCGAGAGAUGGCCCUGAAACAAGUAAGUUACCCAAUCUCUAUCUGUAUUGUUUAUCAGUGCUUGAUCAUCGAAUAACUUAUUUUAUUUUCCUUUUCAGGAACAAGACUCUCCUGACAGCUUGUUCUCCUUUGCCAUCGACAUCUCUGAGGAUGAAGGCGAGGAGGCAAGUUCUUCUCGAGCUAUUGGAAUCUCAUCGGCAGAAAUCAGAGCAAAGUUAGAAGAAUUAUCAGCCCUCCUUCAUCAAGACACGGCCCAAUUGGUCGACGACUCCGAUCUGGCCAAGGCCUUGUUCAAGACUCUCAGAGGCCAAAUUCCUGUCGAUGCCGAGGAGAUCCUCUUCAAGGCUGCUCACUUAGAAAGUCGGCAGCUUCAAUAUCAAAAGGCCGCUCAGCGCCUUGCCAUAGGGCUAAUCACGCCCAGCUCAUAGAAGAGAUGAUAAAAGUGAAGCUCCUUGCCGAUGAAAAGCACAAGAGCAUCGGCAUCUUGAAAUCCUCAGGAGAUGUGCUGAAGCACAAAAUCUCUGACCUAUCGGCAAAGAGAGAAGCCCUGUUGGCAGAACUCAAACAGGUAGAAGAAGCUUUGUCCCAAGCUCAACAAGAAGAAAGCCAGCUGCCUGAGGCGAUCAAGAUUCUUGAACAAGAGCGAAAUGUCCAAGCCCGCAAAGCACUACAGAUGAAGAAGAAGCUGAAGCCAGUGGAGGGCUCUGCCGAUGAUGACAUGAAGGAGAUUGAAGAAGCCAACCAGAUCCAUCUGCGCGCCAUAUCGACGAUCCAGUCUUUGUUAAACAUGUGAAUCCUUCAUCGGUGGCAUACUUUGCUCUUUUCUUUUAAACAAUCCUGAUAUUUUUGGUCUAGCCGAUAGGACUGUUAUCGGCACCUUUUAAAACAUUGAGUUUGGCCCCAGAUAUACUUUGAUCCAGCCGAUAGGAAUGUCAUCGGCACUCUAAACUUUUAUGCAUCAACCCAUAUGCUAGGAUAAUAUUUCUUUAGAUACUUGCCGUUCAAUGCCCUGGGAAAUUCAACUCCUUCGAGAGUCUCUAAAACAUAAGCGUUACCAGGAGCAGAUCGAUUUAUCCGAUAAGGACCCUCCCAAUUGGGAGACCACUUCCCAAAUUUUGAACUUUUAGUCCCAAUCGGUAAGAUUAGUUUCCAUACUAAGUCUCCAUCGGCAAACUCCUUAGCCUUUACCUUCUUAUCAUAUCAUCUGGCAACUCUCUUCUUAUUCUCUUCUAUACUUAUCAAAGCCCUUAGCCGAUGCCCUGCUAAAUCAUCCAACUCAUCGGUCAUCAAAGUAGCAUAAUCAUCGGCAGCCAAUUGAUCUUGAAAAGAUAAUCGCCUAGACCCAGUUUUAAUUUCCCAAGGUAACACUGCAUCAUGUCCAUACACCAACUGAUAAGGUGAAACUUUGGUCGACCCAUGACAAGCCAUCUGAUAUGACCAUAAAGCUUCAUUCAACAACGUAUGCUACCUCCUAGGAUUUUCUUCAAUCUUUCGUUUAAUAAGCUUGAUAAUUCCUUUGUUAGAUGCCUCGGCCUGCCCAUUAGCUUGAGCAUAAUAAGGAGAAGAAUUUAAUACUUUAAUUCCCAAACCGAUUGCAAACUCAUCAAACUCUCCUGAUGUGAACAUAGUACCCUGAUCGGUAGUAAUUGUUUGAGGAAUUCCAAAUCGGUAAAUAAUAUGCUCUUUCACAAAAUCAAUCAUAUUGGCCGAUGUGACUUUCUUCAAAGGAAUAGCUUCAACCCACUUGGUGAAAUAAUUGGUGGCAACCAAGAUGAAUUUAUGUCCUUUACUCGAUGGUGGGUAAAUUUGGCCGAUUAGAUCAAUAGCCCAUCCCCAGAACGGCCAAGGUUUAAUAAUGGGAUUCAUGGCCGAUGCGGGUGCCCUUUGAAUAUUGCCAAAUUUCUGACAUCCUUAACACCCCUUGAAGUAUUUAAAACAAUCUUCAAGUAUGGUUGGCCAAUAAUACCCAUUCCUCCUAAUCAUCCACUUCAUCUUAAAAGCUGACUGAUGUGCUCCACACACUCCUUCAUGGAUUUCUCCCAUUAAACUUUUAGCCUCAUCAUCACCUAAGCAUUUGAGAAGAAUUCCAUCAAUUGUUCGAUAAUAUAAUUCAUCUUCGAGGAGCACAUACUUGGUGGCUUGAAACCGAACACGUCUCUCAACUUUCUUGGACAGAUCUUUCAAAUAAUCAACGAUUUCCCUUCUCCAAUCAUCAACACUGAUUGCCGAUAUUGUGUUUAAUAUGGGCUGAUAUCCCGAGGCAUGCUGAGCCAGCCGAUUGGCCUCUUCAUUAUGCAAUCGAGGAAUAUGCUCUAAUCGGAAAUCCUUGAAUUCCUUUAACAGUUGCAUACUCCUUUCAUAAUACGUUAUUAAGACCUCACUUCGGCAUUCAUAACUUCCAGCCAAUUGAUUUAUAACCAACAUAGAAUCUCUGAAGAUUUCAACAGCAUCAGCACGAACCUCUUUUAACAACUCCAACCCCUUAAUUAAGGCUUGAUAUUCAGCUUGAUUAUUUGUCGACGUGGCAACAAUCGGCAAGAACAAUUCAUACUUCCUUCCCCAAGGGGAAAUUAACAUUAUGCCGAUUCCUGCCCCCCGGUCACACGUGGAUCCAUCAAAGAAGAGCGUCCAAGACACAAUUUCCAAAGUUUCAGCUGCACCACAAUGUUGAGUUACAAAAUCGGCCAUAAUCUGUCCUUUAACCGCCUUAGCCGAUUCGUAACGCAAAUCAAAUUCCGAUAGUGCCAAGAUCCAUUUACCGAUUCUGCCACUCAUUAUCGGCAUAGAUAGCAUAUACCGGACCACAUCAUCUUUGCAUAUAACAGUGCAUUCGGCCGAUAGUAAAUAGUGCCUCAAUUUAAUACAUGAAAAAUAUAGGCAUAAACAUAACUUUUCAAUGGCCGAAUACCUGGUCUCAGCAUCAACCAAUCUCCUGCUUAAAUAGUAAAUCACACGCUCCUUCCCUUCAAAUUCUUGAAUCAAAUGGAGCAACAAGGUGUCAUAAGAUCAAAGAAGCACAAAGAUGGCAAAAUGAAUGAGUACAACAGAGGAGACAAGAUGUUCAUGAACAACUCAAGAUGCAAGAGAAGGAAAGGACCACCAGUCAUCUACCCUUCAUCACUUAGUGUCAUCACGCUCUAACAAUGAAGGUAAUAUCCUUAGGUAAGUGGUCACUUCUCUUGUCUCGAUCUUGGUGCAUACAUAAAUGUAGACACAAAUAUGUUAGAGUUACAAUUUAAAUUGAUUAACCUAAUUAACUCAACAUGAUUUGUCAUUUAAGAUUGUUCAUGGUGCCAUUCUUUUAAUCUCGGUCUUAACCAAAUGAGAUAAAACAUUAUAUUCGAUCUUUGGAAGAUGAUGGUCAUACUCAUGUGAAAAUUUAUAUAUUAUAGAUAGACAAUCCUUCAAUUGGUUAAGCAAUUUGAAUCUUUUCUAUCAUGUGAAUUUAAAUGCAACAUUAAAAUGCUUAAUCUUCUUAUCUUACCACUUAUGUCAUAAGUAAACAAAUUAUGCAAUAUUAACUUUGUCUUGUUUAAUGUGCCUAAGGAUAGAGAAAAAAUAAAUAAAGAGAUAUAUUUGGUUUUGUUAGUGUUUGUCCAACAGUAGAGCCAAUGUACUUGAUCUCUACCUUAGUUUUGUAGAUAGUAUAACACUUCGAGCAAAAUUGUUAAUUCUACAAGUGAAAGUGCUAUGAGCAUACACACUAAGCAAGAUGCUGCUAGCUGCUAUUAAAGAUCUACUUCAAUCUGUUGGCCAAGCCAAAGAACAAAGUGACAUCACCAUUACUAGAGGAUGCAAUCAUCAAAGACUUUUGUCUUUAAGAUGGAGAGGUACACAUGAGUGGAAGAAGAAGUUUUGUCGGUAAACUUUAAAUUUUGUACCCUUGCCAUGAGGUAAUAUGGUAGUUAUCUUAUUAAAUUAGUAUUCAUUAGUAAUUUUACUUCAACACAUUUAGUAGCACAUUCAUUCUUCUUUGCACAUUAAAUAUAAAACAACAACAAAAAAUAUUUACUGCUUAUUUACUGCAUCAUAAAACAUUAAAAGUCCCAUGUGAACAAACUUAUGGUUACCCUGUAGGAAUAUUUAAUGUGGUGGCAUAAAAAUAAUAAUAGCUUUUGUAUUUACUUUCUUGCAUUAUGAAAAUCCUAAGCCCCAUAAGAAUAAAUAUUCUCUGUGGAGGCAUAAAAAUACAACUAUAUAUCAUGACUCAUAUUUAAUUCUGCAUAAUUAAAACUAGAAAAUCCUAAAAAAAGAAUCCUGCUAGAAUCUAUCAAUUAAAAUCAACUUAUAAGAAUAAUCAAUUACUCUUUGGCUGACCACUAAUCUCUUAAUAAAUUGAAGCCUCGAGUUUUGGUUUUCUUGUUGGAGUAUAGUUAUGGAGGAGAAAUAUUAUGAUGAGGAGAGGGUCUAUCAGAGGCGCCCACAAGGACUAUUGCUGGUUAGCUCACUCUGAAGAUCAUCAAUACCAAGUAUGGUAGAAAUCUAGCUUGGGGGAGGAGCAUCCCCUAAUUAUCCAAAAAGUCUACAGGAAAAUAAGUGUGGGGGAAGCACCAUGAAAUUCUGAAACUCAAUUCGAUCGGAGAAUCACAUCAUUCGGGAGAUAGUCAUUCUACGACCACACACGACGAAGCAGGGCCUGAGCAUCCACAUGGGCCCACCACCCUUUAUGCGCUGGCCGGCGCCCCCUUCCUCUACUGCCGUCAGGUUUGAGCCCAAUACGAUAUAUUCGCAUGUUUUGAUUACCGUUCCGAACAUUAUAUAACACUUUUCUGGAAUUAUAAUUACUGCUAGGAAUCCCAUGAUUGCUUAAGUUUUUGUGGAACAUAAGAUAGCCGAAUAAUGAAAACUCAAUUCCUGAUAUUUGGGCUUUGAAGAUUUUAAUUCAAAUAUUUAAAAACACUUAGCUAUACUUCUCCUUUGUGGUAAAAAAAAUGUUUCCUAUACACUAUAAGUAAUGAUUAAUUUGCCUUAGCUACUUGUUUUUUAUUCUGAGUUCCCAAGAUCAAGAUCUUUUAAAGUUAAAAGUUAUAAAAAAUCCCUCUUGAGAAGUAUUAUUAUGAAGGAGGCCUGAGCUAUGCAAAAAAUAUCUGAGGAAAUAAAAAUGGACAAGUGUCCAAAACCUCAAAGAGAUAGAUCCCAAGAAAAUAAAAAUGGACAAGUGUCUGAAACCUCAAAGAGAUAGAUCCCGAGGAAAUAAAAAGGGACAAGUGUCCGAAACCUCGAUCUAGAAAAAAAGAGCACGUGCUCAACAGUAGAAUUAGCCUCAUAGCUUAUGGUCCUCCCGACAUAAUAUGCCAAGCAAGAGAGGAUCGUUUUCAAAAAAGAAAUAAGUAUGUCCUGAUCUAGGAGUAUGAUACUCCUCUCCCUGAUUUUAAGUGUUGACUUGAUCAAAAGCUUGUGUGCUAAAGAAGGAAAUAUAAAAUAAUGUUUCGACAAAGAUACAGGAAUUUAUUAAAUGCUACAAAAGGAGAAGGGCAAGCUAAGUUCUAGGAAAUCAACCUACUCUCCAAUAGACCUGAUUAAGGAAAAGAGUGAUCUGUUUCAAGCUGUUCUGUUCUUCAACUACUAAAAGAUUCAUGGUAGAAGCUUCGAAUUCCACAGUAAGAGAUAUGACUAGAUUUAUCUUUAUGCAAAUAUAUAUUAUGCUCUGAAUGCUAAAACCAACCUUUUUCUCGGGACGAGUAAAAGCCUAAGUGUGGGGGUAAUUGUUGACACCUGUUGAUGCCUAAUUUUUAUAAUCAAUUAUCCCGACAUAAUAUAUAAACACCCAGUAGAAUAGGGAGGUUACUAAUAAUUUCCAUGAGUUUUGGUGAAUUAUAUAUUUUCAAGGAUUAUUCUGAGAAAGGCAUAAAGAAGGACUACAGUGAGUAUUUACCACGAAACUUAACCGCAAAGGAAACCAACAGUCAUUGGAACGAGGGAAGGAUCUGGAAGCUACCCGAAGAAGCGGGACCCCAGUUGACACUCGGUGGCGCUGGCCGGCCCCACUAGGGUGCCGGGCUACACCCCCUGGCACGGCUCGGGUCUAGCUUUUGGAAUGUUCCUCCACCGCCUAUGAGGAGUCAUCUCGGCUGUUGCUUCCAUCGAUUUGAUCCUCUGACGCUCGUUUUACCCUGACGGACCAUAUUCAAGACAGAUUCGGCCCAAGUUUGGCCCAACAAGGCUUAGUUGCAUUAUUAUGAGGUGGUUGGAGGAUUUGUACCACAUCGCUUGCUCAAGGAGGAGGAGGCCAGGCUCCCCCCAUAUAAUACACCCCAGGGGUCCCUCCCAAGACGCACCAUCUACAGAGCUUCAAUUUAGAUUUUCAAUUAGGGUUAGAUGUAGCAAUCAAGAUAGAGAGUAGAGGGAGAAAGUAGAAGAGUAGAGUCUUGGAGGAGCUCCGACCUGUCGGCGUCUCUCCACUGUUGUAUUUGUCUCGAGUCGGCUCCCUAACCCAGAGUCGGGUUCUAAGGUACUUUUGUAGUUUACCUUUUGGUGCGUGUACGCGAUUGUUCUGGCCAUUCUUAAGUUUGCAUCUUGUAUUGAGUAUUAUUCUCUUUAUGAGUACUUUGAUCUUGGUAAUUUCUAGAUUAGAGUAGUAUUCGUGACGUAGACGUGGUGUCUAGGUUGUGGGUGCUUUGUGAAUGUCCCUUGUCUUGCCGGAUGGUGGUAGUCCGCGUAGGUGACAGCUGCGUUGGUUCCUUUGUAGUCCAUCUCCCACGGAAGGUUUGAUAGGUGUAUAGGUGCCGAUGGGAGGAGUACUCUGGUAUUGCUCUUCUUGCUUAGGUUAACCGCCCAGUUAGCAUGGUCUUUUCAAAGCUUGCAUAGUACCGGGAUAGAGAUAGUCAUUUGAUAACUCCUUUGUCUUGUUUUCUCUCUAGAUUGAUUGCAUGCCCCAUUAGAUUAAGAAUCAUAAACCUAGUCUAUUUCACCUACUGUUCCUUCGGGUUUGAUAUUAACCGGUAUAAUCUUGGAGAAGUGCUACAUCGGUAUUAUAUUUGUGCACUUGCCGGUAAUCUUAUUUACAUAUAUUUAGGUGCAGUUAAUUUAUACCAACAAUUAUCAUCAACUAGAAGUCAGGAAGGAGGAGGAGAAGCUCAUAUGGAUGACCGACACCCGGAGAGUGGAUGUCACUUUUUCUGAUCUUGCAAAAGUUUGCAGAAUGGACUACAUUUUCAUGAAGCAAGGGACAACAUUAUAUAAAAUUAAGGAGCCAGAGAAUGAGGAGGUACAACAUCUGCUUCACUACCAGGAAACUUCAAAGUAUGGUACUAGUGGAGGCCUGAGGAUGUUCCUGUUGACAUUUCUUAGCAUCGCUACUAAUAUGGAGUUCUAAAUCUAUCCCUAGUAACAAUGCCAAAAAUAUUGGUUGGUAUAAAUUAAGGUAGCACUUGUUAACAAUAAUAGUCACUAGAAAACUCUACACACCCAACUGUAAACCAUGUUGUCAUCCCCAACAAUAGAGUUAGAGAGUGGAUCACAUACUUUGGUUUUUAAGUCAGUUGAGAAAGAGAGAGAGUGGGUCACAUACUUUGGUUUCUAUUAAGAUACUUGUGUGUGAUUGCAUUGUGGGCCAUCCAUCCAGAUGGCUCUUUGUUAAUUCAGUUUUAUUUGUCUAUGUUGUUGCACUUUGGGCCAUCCAUCAUUAUGGCACCUUGUUAAUUCGGUUUCUUAGAUGUCUCUCUGUAAAUUUGACUGAAUUAAUCUAUGUUUUUGCAUUGUGGGUCAUCCAUCGAGAUGACUAUUGUUAAUAAGAGAACAGAAAUGUCUCCAUGAUAAAAUUUGUCUAGCUUGUGCGUUUUUUAAUUGCUGAACAGUCCCUUGAACUGUACUAGCUAAAAAAAUUAAAAAAAAACUAUUUUCCCCAAACUGGCUUCGAAAUCGGGGUGAUGGCGAGAGAGGGAACAAGAUUAACAGCUAUGCUAUGCUAGGAUGGUGAUUUUGAUUUAAUGGCUCUCUUUUUCUAUUUGAGUCGCUGCUUGCUCCGGUAUGCAAUAAGAAAUUUAAAAAUUAAAAGUUUCCCCCGCGAGGGCUUCAAACCAGAGCUAAUGUGCGUACAAAUAAACCAAAUAUAACAUAACUAACUUCCAUACAAAUAUAAUCAAAAUAUCUAUAUAAAUAAACCUGAUAAAGUAUAUAACCAUUUGAAUAAACCUUACAUAAGAAGACGAACACAUGGAUCCUACAAACUGGAUGCAACCCUUACCUAUCUCCACUCCAAGUAGCGUACGUCUUGAAUGGUGUAACCACGGUCAUUGUCUAUGUAAUGCGAGGCCUGCACUAGAAUCCAUUGCCUCACAAUGACGACGACAUGCAAUCCCAUAGAUAUACCCUACUAAUGGAUUAUCGAUUGCCUGGUUCUAUUUAAAUCUCAUGCAAUACUGGAUGCUAGCUGUUGUCAUUUCGCCCAUCGCUUCCAUGAUGCCCUAGUGGUACCCUAUGAAAGGUCCUAAUAUGGCUAGAGGGGGGGUGAAUAGCCUAUUUAGAAAUUCUACAAACUCACUAGAGCAAGAGGUUAGUAAAUAACAAAGCGAAGCUUUUUGCUCUAGCUCUAAAGGGGUGUUUGCAAGCCACCUAUCCCACAAUUCUAGUUGAUAUAAUCACUAGGCACACAAGAGCUAUGUCACUACUUGCACUAGAAGGCUACCUAAAGUUUCUAUACAAGUAAGUAAGCUACUCUAGUUUGCAGGAAUGUAAAAGAGUGGAUGAGAUAUUUAUACAACCAAGUAGGGGAUGAACCAAUCACCAAUAUAAAUAAUCAAGCACCCGGAGAAUGCCAAUCAAACACAAUUGAGACACCAAUUUUUCUCCCGAGGUUCACGUGCUUGCCGGCACGCUACGUCCCCGUUGUGUCGACCAACACUUGGUGGUUCGGUGGCUAAGAGGUGUAACACGAACCUCGUCCUCACUAGGACACCACAAGAACCUACCCAAAAGUGAGGUAGCUCAAUGACACGAGCAAUCCACUAAUGUUGCCUUUGGCUCUCUGCCGAGGUAGGCACAAACCUCUCACAAUCACCGAGAGAUGGCCACGAAAAAUCACCAACUCGUGCCAAUCCUCCUCCACUGCUCCAAGCCAUCUAGGUGGCGGCAACCACCAAGAGUAACAAGAAAACCGCAGCCAAAUCGAUCCCCAAGUGCCACUAGAUGCAAUCACUCAAGCAAAUGCACUUGGAAUCACUCCCAAUCUCACAAAGAUGUAUAAUCUAUGAAGGAGAUGAGUGGGAGGUGUUUGCUUAGGCUCACAAGGAUGUCUAGUAGUCAAGAAUGCCAAGAGAGUAAGCCAUAAGCCAGCCAAAAACUAUUUAUAAGCCCCUCAAACAAAUAGAGCUGUUGGCUCUUUUACUUGGCAGAACUCGGGGUCACCGGACGCUCUUAAAGGGGCACCGGACGCUCAACACUAGCGUCCGGUGCUCCAAAGUUAGCCACGUGUCAGCUUUUUGAAACUCAGUGUCAGAGUCUAACGGUAACCUGCAAAGCACCGAACGCUGAGCAAGAUAGCACCGGACGCGUCCGCAGAGACCUCCGCAAACUCGCAGGGUCACCGGAUGCAAGCCACCGGACACACCCUGAGCGUCCGGUGCUCACCGGACUCAUGCGCAGAGAGGGUCACCAAAACGCCCGCACACCGGACGCUGAGCACCGGACUCACUAUGGUGCAUCCGGUGCACUCUGCUACACUUGACAGUACACCGGACCCUCCCACUGGCGCAAUAGAAAAUAUGCACUUCAUUUUCUCGAAAAGCGCUGAAUCCCACCUCGCAAGCUCGGCGGGAGGGAGAGAGGAACCCAUCCUCUCUCUACCCUUCAAACUUCAACUCCCUUCUCAAAGUGUGCCAACACCACAAUGUGAAUGUUGACGGUCCUUAAUGCUCACAUUUAACCCUCAAAUAAUCAUGGAAAAGGAUCCAAAUGAAACUAACACCUAGACUUAGGGUUUUAUCUGACAGAAUUCCACGAGUUUUGGUGUUUGUCUAUUUCUGCAGGGGGUUAUCAGGAAAUACGGAAGAAAGGCCCACACGUCGAGUUUACAUAGAGAUAUUAACGUGCCGCACAAUUUUCUAUCAUCUAGAGGACUACAGAAGCCACGGGAACGAAGCGGAGGCCGAGAGGGCUCAGGGACAGGGCACCCGCCCAAGUCCUUAGGGCGCCCGCCCAGCUACUGUGUCCAAUUCGGACCCGUUUCGCGUAUUAUGCUCCACCGACCUAAAGGAUCAAGGAAAACCGUGCGAUCAAUGUCGGUUUGAUCCAACGACCUAGAUUCAUCUGAAAAGACUAUAUAAGCAAGGCCCCCUGGCCCCUGGAGAUCAUACCUCUUCUACAGAAUCAAAGCUAGGGUUUCAAUUCUUCAUCCAAGUAGAGAGGAUCCCUCUAGUUCUUCUAGUUCUACCUCUAGUUCAUCUAGAUCUAGUUCUAGUUCAUCUAGUUCUAGUUCUAGUUAGUUCUAGUUGUAGUCUAGAAAAUAGGGAGAGAGAAGAGGAGAGCGGAGGAGGAGCAGGACCUGUCGGAUCUUCCUCAACAUUGUACUUUUGCAGCAACUGGUUCGUUCUUCAUCGUUCUCCAGGUUCUUCAAUUCAUAAUUCGUGAGUUCUUUAAUUACUUUUAUUUACAUUCAAGUUAUUUAUUGGAUUUCCGCUUGCAUCAAGUGCUCUAAUCUUUGAAACAUUAGAGUAGUAAUUAAUAGAUUAGACGUGGUGUUUAGUCUUGCAAUUACCUGGAAUUGCACUCAAACCUACGGAUUGUUGUGGUAGCCCUAGGGUAGUGACAGCCCUAACGGUCGACGUAUUCCACCUCGUUUGGAUCGGUGUUUGUAGGACCGUAGUUAGACCUUCCUAGCCCCCUUCUCAUCUCUUUCUGUGGUUAGUGCUCUGAUGUCCCGAAAUAAAUAAUCUUUGAAGUAAUUCUUGAUUCUUAGAUCAACUAGAGAACUCUCAGGAAACUUCCUCUCUUCCCACCAAAAAUAAUUAUAUAGUUAUCCUUGGGCGAUCUUGGAUCUUAAUUAGUACACUCACGUUCCCUGUGGAAAAUCGAUACUCUCGAAUACUCCCGGGUGAAGGCUACAUCGGUAUCCGUGCGCUUGCGGAUUUUCCUAUUUGCGCUUAAAAUACCCAACAGUGUAAACCAACAUGUGCACGUGUGUUAGCAUUAUCACAAUCAUUUUCUUCGAAGGAGUUAAGUUAGCUCACUAGGUUCUAAAUGCAUGCACAUGAACAAUGACACCUAGUGGCACUUGAUAACCGCUUAGCCAAAGAAUUCCCCUCUUUGUAGUACGGCUAUCUAUCCUAAAUGUGAUCACACCCUCUAUGCUGUCUUGAUCACCAAAACCAAAACCCUAAGCAAUACCUUUGCCUUGAUCUCCGUAGGGUUUUGUUUUUCUCUUUCUUCUUUUCCAAGUUGAGCACUUGAUCAUCUUGUGGUCAUCACCAUCAUCACCAUGAUCAUCGCUUGCUCCAUCACUUGGCAUGUACCAACCUCAUUAAGUCUACACACACUUAGUAUAGAGGUUAGUACUAGGGUUUCAUCAAUUAUCCAAAACCAAACUAGGGCUUUCAAUCUCCCCCUUUUUAGUAAUUGAUGACAAUCCUUUUUACAAAGAUUUUCAAUAAAAUUUUCUUGAAUCCAUGUUGCUUGUCCAAGCAUUUUACCAUGUGCAAAUAUUAUGGACAAGUUUCAUAAACCCAAAUUGGUAGCAAUUGCUCCCCCUACAUAUGUGCUAAGAGUUUGGAUUGAAAGCUUGCACAUAUGCUUGAAUAGGAAAUAUAGGAGUCAAUUUCUACCAAAUGAUGCUAAGGUGUAAAGAAUGGACCUUUGAAGCGUGAUACCAAUCGGAGUUGCCAAUAUACACCAUCCUUAGCACCAUUAGUAACUAGCUAUUCACAAAACUAGAACACCUCGUGAGAUCAACAUUAUAAACAAGGUUCUAGUACCACUUGUGAAACAACUAAAAGUCUAGUUACACUACCUAUGCCUGCUAGUUCUUCAUUUCAUCAAUCAAACUCACAACUAGCAUACACCACACAAGCAAGGUAUCAGAGAGAAAAACUUCUAAAACUAAUGCAAAUGCAAGCAAACAUAUGUGAUGCACAUACAAAUGCAACAUACAAGUUUAUGAGCUUACUCCCCCUACUUGUGUGCUUCAAAAUUUUAAUUGAUCCCCUUCUUUUAUCAUGUUACUCCCCUAUCUUAAAUCUUUUGUAAUUUCUCUCCCCCUUAAGCAAAUCUUUGGGAAAUUCUCUCCCCCUUUGUCAUCAAAGACCACAAAAGGUGAGCUCAAAUUUUAGAUAGGUUAGUGUGAAACCAUGUGAAGUGAGAUCAUUUUCCCAAAUUGGUUCAAUCUAGAUUACUUGCCUAAGAUAUUUAACUCGGUUUGAUCCAAGGACAAGCUUCUUCACACCUCCAAAUAAGGGUUAUCUUGUACCAUGUUGAGUUAAACACUUAUAGCUCAUAUUCUAGAUCAAACACUAGGAUUGCAAGCCCACAAACAUGUCAUAUGCUACCACUAGAUCAAGUCAAGCAUAGAAGCAAUAGUGGUACCAUAUAAGCAUCAAAUUCAUUUGAUUUUCAUGAAUGAGCCUAAGACAUGUAAGGAAUGACUAGAUGCACUAAACAAAUCCUUAGCAAAGAUGGAUGACAUGUCAAACAAUUUCACCUUGCUUUGCUCGAAGGAGAGGCAUGUCAUAUAGUGGGGGUGCAUCAACACAUAUUUGAGAAGUCAAGUAUAUUCAAUUCAUUCUUUAGCUUGCAAAACCUCUUCUCAUCAAGUGGCUUGGUGAAUAUAUCAGCAAGGUUAUCAUCGGUGCCUAUACUCUCAAUGCAAAUGUCCCCUUUUUGUUGGUGAUCUCUUAUGAAGUGAUGGCGGACAUCUAUGUGCUUUGUUCUUGAGUAUUGAACCGGAUUGUUGGUGAGCUUCACGGCGCUUUCAUUGUCACAUAGCAAUGGCACUUGCUUGAAGUUGAUUCCAAAGUCCUUCAAAGUUGCCUUCAUCCAUAGGAUUUGUGCACAACAACUACCGGCCGCAAUGUACUCCGCUUCGGCGGUUGAUAGUGCAACACUAUUUUGUUUCUUGGAUGACCAUGAGACAAGUGAUCUACCCAAUAGUUGACAUGUGCCCGAAGUGCUUCUUCUCUCAACUUUGCAUCCCGCAUAGUCCGAAUCGGAAUAUCCAACAAGUUCAAACUAUGCACCUUUGGGAUACCACAAACCAACAUUUUGUGUAUGCUUCAAGUACCUCAAAAUUCUCUUUGUUGCUUUCAAACGACUUUCUCUUGGUGAGGCUUGAAAUCUUGCACACAUGCAUACACUAAACAUGGCAUCCGGUCUUGAUGCGGUCACAUAGAGUAGGCUUCCAAUCAUAGAUCGAUACAACUUUUGAUCCACCAUAUUUCCACUUGUGUCACUAUCUAAGCUUCCAUUUGUUCCCAUUGGAGUGCUAAUUGAUUUUGCAUCAUCCAUACCAAAUUUCUUGAGCAUAUCUUUUAUGUACUUGCCUUGACUCACAAAUGUGCCAUUCUUCAAUUGCUUGAUUUGAAGACCAAGGAAGUAACUAAGCUCUCCAAACAUUGACAUCUCAAAUUCAUUAGCCAUCAUGUUUCCAAACUCCUCACAAAACUCUUGGUUGGUUGAUCCAAAUAUGAUAUCAUCAACAUAUAUUUGCAACACAAACAAGUCCUUGCCAAUCUUCUUGGUGAAGAGAGUGGUGUCAACCUUGCCCAUCUUGAAACCUUUAGAGAGUAAUAAAUCUCUCAAUCUCUCAUACCAUGCUCUAGGUGCUUGCUUCAAACCAUAUAAUGCCUUUCUUAGCUUGUAAACAUGGUUGGGUUUCUUGUCAUCUUCAAAUCUGGGAGGUUGCUCAACAUAUACUUCUUCAUUGAUAUAGCCAUUGAGAAAUGCACUCUUCACAUCCAUUUGGUAUAGCUUGAUGUUAUGAGCACAAGCAUAGGCCAACAAGAUCCUAAUUGCUUCCAAUCUUGCAACCGGGGCAUAUGUUUCACCAAAGUCAAGACCUUCAACUUGAGUAUAGCCUUGUGCUACCAAUCUUGCUUUGUUUCUUACAACUAUCCCAUCUUGAUCUUGUUUGUUGCGAAAGACCCAUCUAGUACCAAUGACAUUAUGAUCACUAGGCCUCUCAACUAACUCCCAUACUUGAUUUCUCUUGAAAUUGUUAAGCUCUUCAUGCAUAGCAUUGACCCAAUCAACAUCUCUUAAUGCUUCAUCAAUCUUCUUUGGCUCAAUGUGAGACACAAAGGAGAAAUGCUCACAAAAUGAUGCUAAUCUUGAUCUAGUUUGCACUCCUCUUUGAAUAUCACCAAUGAUAUGAUCCAAUGGAUGAUCUCUUGCAAUGUUUGUUGGUUGGAGUAUUUGCACUUGAUUGCUUGCACUUGGUUGAUCAUGAGAUGAUGUACUAGCUUGUUGAUCAUGCACUUGAGUACCACUAGUACUAACUUGAUUUUGAUCAUGAGAACCACUAGCUUGCACAUUAGAGGUAGGAAGCACUUGAUCUUUGUCAUCUUCAACAUCAAUCACCUCUCUAGGCCUUAAAUCACCAAUAUCCAUAUUCUUCAUUGCAUCGGCCAAUUGAGUGCCUCUCACAUCAUCUAGAUUUUCAUCUUCCUCUUGAGAGCCAUUUGUUUCAUCAAAUUCAACAUCAUGCACCUCUUCAAGAGUACCACUAGCCAAAUUCCAAACUCUAUAAGCUUUGCUAGUAGUUGAGUAACCAAGCAAGAAUCCUUCAUCACGUUUCUUCUCAAAUUUACUCAAUCUAGUGCCUUUCUUCAAUAUGUAGCAUUUGCAACCAAAAACCCGAAAGUAUGCAAUGUUGGGCUUUCUUCCAUUCAAGAGCUCAUAUGGAGUCUUCUCCAUCAUUGGGUGACAAUAGAGUCGGUUGCUAUAGUAGCAAGCCAUGUUGAUUGCUUCGGCCCAAAAAGAAUGACUCACAUUGUAUUCACUCAACAUUGAUCUUGCCAUGUCAAUCAAGGUUCUAUUCUUCCUCUCAACAAGACCAUUUGAUUGUGGAGUGUACUUGGCCGAGAAUUGAUGCCUAAUACCAAACUCAUCACAAAGCUCAUCAACUCUUGUAUUCUUGAAUUCACUUCCAUUGUCACUUCUCACUUUCUUGAUGGUUGUUUCAAACUCAUAGUGUAUUCUCUUGACAAAUGAUUUGAACGUUGCAAAAGCAUCACUCUUGUCACUAAGAAAGAAUACCCAUGUAUAUCUUGUGAAAUCAUCCACUAUCACAAAUCCAUAUUUGUUUCCACCAAUACUUGUGUAUGUGGUUGGUCCAAAUAAGUCCAUGUGCAACAACUCAAAUGCCUCGCAUGUACUCAUGAUGCUCUUCUUUGGAUGAGUGUUGCCAACUUGCUUUCCGGCUUGACAUGCACUACAAAGCUUGUCUUUCUCAAAUGUGACAUCUUUCAAGCCUCUAACAAGAUCAUGCUUGACUAACUUGUUUAAUUGUUUCAUUCCAACAUGACCAAGCCUUCUAUGCCAUAACCAACCCAUGCUAGAUUUAGUGAGCAAGCAUGUUGACAAUUGAGCUUCACUAGCAUUGAAAUCAACCAAGUAUAGAUUCUCAUAUCUAAAGCCUUUGAAUAUCAAGUUUGAGCCAUCUACACUUAUGAUCUCUACAUCAUCAACUCCAAAUAUGCAUUUGAAACCAAGAUCACAAAGUUGAGCUACGGAUAAAGUUCAAGCUCUCUACUAGUAGCACAUUGGAAAUGCUCAAGUCAUUGGAUAUAGUAAUUUUACCAAGCCCUUUGACCUUGCCUUUGCCAUUGUCACCAAAUGUGAUACUAUCAACACCAUUGUCAUCAUUUGAUUUGAUUGAAUUGAACAUUUUUGAAUCACCGGUCAUGUGUUGUGUGCACCCACUAUCAAGCACCCAACGCCUUCCUCCAUCUUUAUAGUUUACCUACAAAACAAAUCAAUGUUUCUUAGGUACCCAUACUUGUUUGGGUCCUUAGAGGUUAGUGACUAAGCUUUUUGGUACCCAAAUGGCCUUCUUCUUUGGACCCACAAUUGGUGUACCAACAAACUUAGCAUGCACACCCUUCUCACCCUUGGUAAGCACAUAAUAACAAUCAAAAGGAAUGUAAGAUACAUUAGCAUUUUUCUUGUUCUUGUUCAUUUUAUUGCAAUUAAGCUCUAGGUGCCCAACUUGCUUGCAUUUGUUGCAAUACCGACCAUUGCUCUUCACAAAGCUAGGCUUGUGAGUUGCAAAAGCUUUCUUGCCAUUCUUGGGGGUAUAGCCUAAUCCCUCUUUGUUGAGAGAAAACCUUUGGCUACCCAAGCACUUUAGCAAGCGGGCCUCACCACCAUAAGCUUUUCCUAGGGCGUGAGUGAGCUCAUCCACCUCUCUCUUGAGAGUCUCAUUCUCAACUUUUAGUGAGGUAUCACAAGUGACACUAACACAAGAAGUAGAGGUAGAGUUGUUGGUGGUGGAUGAAGACCUACAAAAAGAGUUAGUGGCAACAACAAUAGGUAGGUUGGGUGAUUCUUUAAUUAAGUCACAAGUUGUGCCCACAUCACAUGAUACAACAACCUUUUCCUUGUUCUCUUCUAACAACAAGGAGUGAGCUUUCUCAAGCUUGGUGUGAGCCUUGCCAAGCUUCUCAUGGGCUUCCACUAGCCUCUCAUGAUUAGCAUUGAGCUCAUCAAAGGAUUGCUCAAGAGCUUUUAACUUCUUGGCCAAUUGUUUGCACUUCUUGUUUUUAGAUUGAAUGAGAGAAUCGACUUGUUCUAACAUGUCCAUGAGUUGUUCAUUAGUGAAUUCAUUUUCAUCAUCACUAUCACUAUCAUGUUCAUGUUCACUUUCACUUUCACUCUCAUCAUAUUGUACCUUGUGGCCCUUGGCCAUGAAGCAUGAAGGAGUGUCGAAGAGUGAUGGCUUGUUGAUAGCAAUGCUUGCAAGUGCCUUCUUAUUGGAUGCCUUGUCAUCAUCACUAGAAUCAUCAUCCGAAGAAGCAUCACUAUCCCAUGUCACAACAUAGGAUCCACCCUUCUUCUUCUUCUUGAAAACCAUCUUCUUCCAUUUCUUUUCUUUCUUCUCCUUCUUGUUCUUCUUGUCAUGCUCAUCAUUGUUGUUGGGUAUUCUUAACAUCAUUACCAAAAGUAGACUAAGUUCUCUAAAUCUAGUAACGGUGCCAAAAAUGCCAAACCUAUCCCUCACACCACUUAAGCCAAGUUGUCAUCCCCAGCAUGACAUGAGAGACGCGGUAUUGAAAUAUGCAAUUGCUCUUCUAAAUAAAUAAUGAAUGGGAUCUGCAAGCGCACAGAUUAAUACCGAUGUAGCAUUUUAACCGGGAAGUAUUCCAGGUAUCGUUAUUUAUAUUUUUACCACUGGGAAGGGAUUAGCAAUCAUCAAUAUUGAUUACAGAAUAGAAUAUGAGAUUGAGCAUCUAUCAUUGCAUGUAUAAUUGAGAACAGUUAUCUAACUCUUUCAUACAGGGGUAAGUGUCACAUAAAAGAUAUAUGAAGUAAUGAAUAGUGACAAAGAUAAUUGAUCUGAUCAGCCACAUAUAAAUAUGAUAAGCACCUCAAUUAGAUACUCUAGAAAGUCAUUAGCAUGGUAUUAGAACGAAUUACAAGAAUAUUCCCUAAGUUAUUCUCAACUAUAUAGUCUAGCAUUAUCAUAAUUAGUGCAAGCAUACUUAGCAAUCAUUGUGAGACAAGACUACGCCCACGCAUAGUGAUAUUAGCAAGGUAAAUGAGAAACAUAGCAAUCACUCCCCUAUAAUAAUAUUGCUCUGCCAGCCCAAUACACGAGAGGGGGACUAUAUAAGAAUCAAUGAAGCUGUCACUAUCACGAACUACCCCACGAUCUGGCAUAUUGGGUACAAUCGCAGAUAAAUACGGUAUAAGCACCACGCCUACACAAUAUCUAUCAUUUACCCAUGGAUCCGAUGGAUAAAUGCUAUAUGAUCCUAAGCAUGUAUAUAGAUCCAAUCUAACUAAGCCAAGUACAUAACUAUGAUAAACUAAGAACAAUAUAAUCUUGAAUAUAAGCAAGUAGAGCAAAGUCAUAAGCAAUAUAUUGAAGUAGAACAAAGUCAUAUUCAUAAUAUUGAAGAACAAAGAUAAUUAGAAAGCAAUUAGAAGCACAAUUAGAGAAUUACCAAGAAUCCUCUUGAUAGAUCCAGAAACCAAUCGAAGAUUGACUCCUUCUAGUUCUAAUCCUAUGUAGCUAUGCUAAUCUAGAUAUCUAAUUGAUGUGGUGGCUCUAAUCUUGAUCAGAGGCUUCUUCUCCCUUGAGAAUAAUGAAUUAGGGUUGAGAGGCUCUCUCCUCCAGGGGCCAGGGGGUCUGGUUUUAUAGUCCCUUCAAGUGAAUGUGGGCUGUUGGAUCAAACCGACUUAGAUUGAACGGUUAUCCUUGAUCCUUUAGGUCGGUGGAGAUCUCCCACGAAGCAGAGUCCUGAUUGGACUCCAGAGGUGGGCGGGCGCCCUGCCUCUGGCCCCGUUUCGCCUCCGCUUCGGUCUCGUGGCUUCUGGAGUCUUCUAGAUGUAAGAUAAUUGCGCGGCACGUUAAUAUCUCUAAGUAAUCCCGACGUGUGGGCCUUUCUUCCAUAUUUCCUGAUAACCCCCUGCAGAAAUAGACAAACACCAAAAUUCGUGGAAUUUUGUCAGAUAAAACCCUAAUUCUAGAUGUUGAUUUCAUUUGGAUCUUUUUCUUAUUUAUUUGAUAAUUAAAUUUGAUACUUAAGGACCAUCAACAAACUCCCCCAAGCUUACCUCUUGCUCGUCCCUGAGCAAGGAUAGACUCAGCUAUGGAUCAGAAGUUGCUGCAAUAUCUUUAAAAUUUGACGGUACACAUACUUUUAAAUAAGAUCUCAUCUCUGAGUUAGAGUAAACUGUCAAGACUUAAAACUUACUUACUUUACCUCCACCAUGGGACUUGUAACUGUCACUUCUGUCUUGAGUAGUUAAAAGAUAGAACAGUCUAGCCAAGUGCCAUGUCUCUUAUUCUUGAUCAGCUAUAGCUCUGGUGUUUUUUACAGAUUUUCAAAUAAAACUUAGAGAUUCCUUGUAUGAUUCUCUCAAAUCUCUCUUUUGUGGUAUUUCUGGAUCGUUACCAAGGCAGUGAUGGUAUAUGCCUUCUCUCAAGAUAUGUAGUAUUUGUGGUAUAAAGCAUAGUGACAUUGUCUUCUCUCUCACCCUACUCUAAUAAGGCUUUAAUAUCUGGAGCUCAUAGGUGGGAGAUAAAGUAUACAUACUUACAAGACAUGUGUUGCAUAAUCAAACCAUGGAUCCAAAGAAACAAAUCAAUAAGCCAAAUCAAGAUGUGCAUGUGUGGCGAAUGAAUGAUGUAUGGUGAUGAUGGUGAUAAUAAUGGUGAAAGCCUAAUUCUACUUUUUGCUCUUUUGAGGGGAUACAUACCUUCCUUGCUUUUUGAAUUUAUGAGGAGAAUGAGAUGCUCUUCCUUUUUUUUCUUUUCUCUCAUGUGGGUAUCUUGUACCCCUAAUUCUACUAUCGGACACUUGUCCAUUUUUACCUCUCGUCUCACUCUUUUUUUUCUUUUGAGGUUCCGAGAACUUGCUCCUUUUUAUUUCCUCGUAUCUCUCUUUUUUUAGAGCACUCAUCUCUUGAGAUAAUAUAGCAAGUAGUAGUAACAAGAUAACUUGAGCAUUUAUUUCACAAGGAAAAAUAGAAAUAUUUUUGUUAUUCUCUCCCGGGUUAGGAGUAGAAUAUUUUUAGGUAGUUCUGGAGAUGGAAAUGGAUGGAUAUAUGUGGAUGGUACUUCCGGAGUAGAAGUAGCAUAUAUGAGUGAACGUGCAAGUGAAAUCUUGAUUUAACCACAUGACAAGCUCCUAAGGGACUACACAGCUUGACUACACUCAAUGCUCAUAAGCAGUAAAUAGUAAAUGUGUGGCUCAAAGUCUAGCAAGCAUGUAUAUAUGGCUGUGGUAGGAAUUUAAACUCUCAUCAUACAGGAACUCAUCAUGCAACAUUUUAAAGAUUUUCAAAGAUAAAAUUCUCCAGAAUUCUAGCAUCUCUAGGAACAGAUAAACAGCAGCUCAACCUUCCCAUAUCAUAUCCAUUAACAACUUAGACUUCAGAUCAAGUUUUCAUCCCACAAGUUUAGGUCUAGAGCAAGCUUUAAAUUAUAACAGUUAUAUCUAAACUUGAGAGAGAACUUAAAAUAUGCAAAUUAGGCAGAGCAACUAUUCAUCAUAUCCAUUUUGACUGGGACAUCAGUUACUGUUCCUUUAACCUCUUGAUCGUCUAUUUUGACUGGGACAUCAGUUACUGUUCCUUUAACCUCUUGAAAUGUCUGAUCUGCCAUCUGGAGCUGAAUGUAUGUUGGUUUUAGGGGCAUGGUUCCGAACAAGAGACGAUAGGUGACUGCGGCCAUUAUGUUGACGCCCGAUCCGGUGUCGCAAGUCGUCUUGUAGAAGUUGUAUCCAUUUAUGGAGCAGUAGAUGCUUGGCAUUCCUAGGUCGUCCUUCUUGGUCAAAAACGGUGACUUAAGUUGAUGAUCUUGGCCUCCAUGAACUGCAGUGACCAUCUUAGCUGACUCGGGCCACACUUGCUUGUUCCUGUUCCUUCUGUUGGUCCUCUUCCUUGAUUGACGUCUGGAUUGAUCUGGGAUUUGUGUAGUCUUGUUCUUGAAGAAAAAUGUCUCCUUCCUCCCUUUGAUAUAGAAACUGAUCUUGGCAGCGCUAGCGUAGAUGACAGCUCCUGCGGUGUUUAAGAAUGGCCUCCCUAAGAUGAUGGGUGCCCUCUCAUCAUUUCCGGUCUCUACCACUACGAAGCCUGCUGGGGCAUAUAAGGUACCAACUCGGACACAAAGGUUCUUCAAUAUUCCCUUUGGAAAACUUAUCGUCUGAUCUGCAAACUGCAAACACAAGGUUGUUUCUAAUAAAGGAUAUGUGAAGAAUUUUUCAUAGAGUACCCUGGGUAUAAUGUUGACGCUGGAGCCAAAGUCGCAGAGUGCUUCUGGGAAGUCCACCAUGCCGAUGGAGAUCGGGAUGACAGGGCAUCCUGGAUCGCCUCUCUUGACCGGCAGAAGGUCACUAGUGAAUUCAGUGACGGGGUUACUCCAAUUACCUGCAUCAAACAUGUCUACAAGAUUUGCAGAUUCUAUUCCUUCCGGUUGUGAUGGUAUACCGGGGUUAGUUGUAGGAACAGCAGCAGCUAUUUGAUUUAACUGAAAUUCAAUCAUUUUAUUAAAGCUAAUUUGAUUCUUGAUGGCAGUAGAGAAAUUAUCCAUUCUAUUAUUUAUAUUUUCUAGCAUUUUAUCAUUAGAUGCCAAUUUCUUAGAUAGGUUAUCCAUUAGCUUUCCUUGAUUAGACACUAACUCUCUCAAAGGUGGAAAAUUAUUAUUAUUAUUGUAAGAAUUGUUACCUUGAUAAUUACCUUAGUAGUUAGGCCUCUGUUGAUUCCAACCUUGAUUUUGUUGAGGAUGGUUGUAGUAGUUGUUGUUGUUAUUGUUGACGUAGUUCACAUCCUCAAGUAUCUCAGGGCAGUGGUUGCCUGAGUGUCCAGUGUCUCCACACUCCUCACAAGUCAUGUGAGAGUCGUAGAUGUGCAUAACUUCUUUCUUAUCUCCAGCUCUAUCAUCGAGCUUCUUCAUGAGUAGGUCUAGCUUUGCAGACAGCAUAUCUACCUCCUUCAGCUGAUGCAUACCUCCACCUCUCUUGCGUGUUUGGGUCCUCUCUUCAUUCCAGCUUUGGUUGGACGCCAUCUUCUCCACAAGAGCUGUGGCUUGUGGUAUGGUAAGUGAUAAGAAUGCUCCUCCAGCUGCAGCAUCCAUGGUUUCUCGGGCACUGUUGCCGAGCCCAUGAUAAAACGUCUGCAUCAAUAGCCAACUCUCCAUUCCAUGAUGGGGACAUUCUAGGAUGUAGUCUUGAAAGCGCUCCCAUGCUUCUGGAACAGAUUCAUCAUUUUGUUGCUGAAAACUUGUAAUCUUCCCAUGGAGAGCAUUGGUCUUGCCCUUGGGAAAGAACUUAGCCAGGAAGUUUGUUGAGCAGAGUGCCCACGUAGUAUUCUUCUCCUUUGUAGCAUAAAUCCACUGCUUCGCUCUUCCUAACAGUGAGAAUGGGAAGAGGCGAAGUAGUAUAGCAUCUCUGGGGACUCCUGAUAUGGUAAAUGUGCUGCAAAUCUCCAGGAAGUGUUGGAGAUGAGCACUAGCAUCUUCGUGUGCCUUCCCACAGAACUGGUUGGAUUGCACCUUGUUGAUAAGUCCAGGCUUGAGCUCAAAGUUGCCGUCGAUCUCUGCAGCAGGUCCAGUGCGGAUGUUGUCCGUAGUGGGAGCUGAGAACUCGCGGAUUGAUUUGUUCGCCAUGGCUUCGAACUCGGAAGACGAGUUCCGGUGAUCUUCUUGAUUGGAUGAAGCUUCUUGCUGAAGUGUUGAUGAUCUCUUCUUGAGCUUGGCUUUAGUUCUUCUGAAUAACGCUUCGGGAUUGUCAACAAAAUUUCCUGGAAGUUGUCUUCUAUUCAUACAUUCCCCUGCAUAAGAUAAAAUAGAAAAAUAUCAGGGUAAAACUGUAUGAGAGAAUAGAUAAGCUCAAUCAUAUUAGUGAUGCGAAUGAUAACUCAAAAUCUUUUAUUCCAUUCCUGAUUAGUAAUCAACCUUCCCCGGCAACGGCGCCAAAAAUGCUUGUUGGGUAUUCUUAACAUCAUUACCAAAAGUAGACUAAGUUCUCGAAAUCUAGUAAUGGUGCCAAAAAUGCCAAACCUAUCCCUCACACCACUUAAGCCAAGUUGUCAUCCCCAGCAUGACAUGAGAGACGCGGUAUUGAAAUAUGCAAUUGCUCUUCUAAAUAAAUAAUGAAUGGGAUCUGCAAGCGCACAGAUUAAUACCGAUGUAGCAUUUUAACCGGGAAGUAUUCCAAGUAUCGUUAUUUAUAUUUUUACCACUAGGAAGGGAUUAGCAAUCAUCAAUAUUGAUUACAGAAUAGAAUAUGAGAUUGAGCAUCUAUCAUUGCAUGUAUAAUUGAGAACAGUUAUCUAACUCUUUCAUACAGGGGUAAGUGUCACAUAAAAGAUAUAUGAAGUAAUGAAUAGUGACAAAGAAAAUUGAUCUGAUCAGCCACAUAUAAAUAUGAUAAGCACCUCAAUUAGAUACUCUAGAAAGUCAUUAGCAUGGUAUUAGAACGAACUACAAGAAUAUUCCCUAAGUUAUUCUCAACUAUAUAGUCUAGCAUUAUCAUAAUUAGUGCAAGCAUACUUAGCAAUCAUUGUGAGACAAGACUAUGCCCACGCAUAGUGAUAUUAGCAAGGUAAAUGAGAAACAUAGUGUUGACACCAUUUUUGGGCACGUGUCCAGGAUGGCAGGACAGGGUGGCAGUACGAUGCGGGUUGCUGGUAAGGAUGGUUGCCGAUGAGGGAAAGGUUGAAUGUGACUAAGUCCUCAGACAGUAAUAUGGUGCCGAUGACCAAGUAAAAGGGUCUGCCGAUGACUAUGGCGAGGGGAUUGCCGAUGACGCGAAGGAGGAGUCCGGAAGCUGCCAGUUGUCAUGUGGAGGAGUUUCGGUUUGUCACGAAGGAUGGUUUUAUUAUUUCCUUAUGUUAUUCGUAUCGUUUUGUAUACGGGUUCCGUGUAAUUUGGAAUUCGAAUUCUAAUCGUGUCUGGUCGUAGCUCUUUGAGCAGGGUAUAAAUAUAAGCCCUAAGACCUUGUAAUCAGGACAUCUAUCAAUCAAUCAAACACACGUUUUUACUCAUAUUCCAGCAUCUACUUUUCGACGACUUCGUCAUACUUUUUUCCUUUUAUUACGAGUUCUUAGGAAUUUGUCGACUUAAGCUCGGCGUAUUCUCAAGUUCCGCGUGAGUACCUCUUAGCCGUGACAUCCGGGCGUAUCGCUGUUGUCAGGACUAAAGUAUUCGAGUUAUCACCUUUGCCGAUAGUAAGGUCAAAUCGGCUGGCACGCCUUAACGUUUGAAUCGGGUAUUAGCCCUUUGUGUUUGCAGAUCAGUUUUGCAUCAACACAUCUUUUGGCACGCCCAGUGGGACAGAUUCAAGAUCAACAUGUCAAUCUCCGACCUCGAUCAAGACAACGUCAUCCCCGUGACGGAAGCUAACCUCAAGGAUGAGCAGAAGCAAGCUAUUGCUCAAGCUAUGGAAGAGUUCAAGCAGCAAUGCCUGAAGUCUUUCAGCAUAAACAGGAGCGGCGAAGUGGUCCAGAAAGAUGCACUGCCGGCACCACGGCAGGUCACCUUCGACGCUAAUCCUGGCAAGCUUCAAGACAUGGUUGACAAUGCCAUCAAUCGAGCGCUGAUCAACCAAGCUGGUGUAUUGUCUAACACGGUGUUCAACGCCGUGGCAAGAACUUUCAAGGAAGGACAAAUCCCGCCGGAUUAUGUGGGCCCUUCCCAUCAUCAACCCACGGCACCAGAGGUCACGACUCCAUCGGCUGCCUUGACGAGUGCAAGUGCACAGUCUGCCGUCCCUCCAAGUACAUUGGGGACUACCGGUGCACUAUCUAUGCCGAUGGCAACCAACCCCCAAAUUUCAGUUGGGCAGCAUAAACUGACGACAGAUAUGUUGGCAUCGGCAAUGUCAGGGUUAAAUCUUCCCCCCAACUGGUGGGGUUAUGGUAUGCCUCCAGAGUUGACGCCGGGAACAUCACAGACAACUGACAUGAGGGGCAAAACUCCUAUGACGUCGGUACCUCCCAAUGUGCCGGUGAACCAGAGUCCUCGGUAUACCACAACUACUACUGCAAGGCCUCACACUGGAAAUCCUCAAGAUUCAAUGUUCCAGAUGCCCAACGCAUCGGCAGAGUCAAUGCUGAUGCAACAGAGGCCUAUGGCCCAGUCGGGGUAUGUCAAUUCAACGACGAUACCCAAUUACCAAUCAUCGGCGGCACCUAUGCCGAUGAACGCUAAUAAUGGAUGGCUUGGACAACAAGCCUUUCCACAGUCGCCCCAGCAGGGUUAUCAGACUACGGGGUUCCAGCAAGGGCAGGUUUAUCCCGGGUUCCAAGGUCAGGGAAUGUCCAACCAGCCAAUAAAUUUUGGACAGCAACUCGGAGGACAGCCAGUCGGUGGACAGCAGUUUGGUAGUCCGCAGAUUGGAGGACAGGUGACCAAUACGAUGUUCCAUACAGGUCAGGUCCCAAACAGACACGUGGAGGUUUGCCACCAAGUGCCGGAUCCGCAGCUGCCUCAUCGGCAAGAUGCCGAUGCUUAUUGGGCCGAUAAGAUUGCUGAAGUAAUGAAGGAACAAUUCGGGAUAAAACCCAAAGUCAACACUUAUUCUUACCGGACACCGUAUCCUCCAGCGUAUGAUUUGAUCCCGCUUCCACAUCGGUACAAGGUACCAGAUUUUACAAAGUUUUCCGGACAGGACGACACGUCAACCAUGGAGCAUGUCAACAGGUUCAUUAUUCAAUGUGGAGAAGCUGGUAACAGGGACGAAUUAAGGGUUCGUCUAUUUUCAUCAUCAUUGUCUGGAUCGGCCUUUACUUGGUUCAUAUCAUUGCCUCCCAAUUCAGUAAUUACUUGGGCCGAUCUAGAGAAGCAAUUCCACAGAUACUUCUUCUCGGGGGUUCAUGAGAAGAAGAUCACCGACUUGGUCAAGUUGAGGCAACGUAAUGAUGAGUCGGUUGAGGGAUUUGUGCAGAGGAUACGAGAGGUCAAAAAUAAAUGCUAUAGCCUGGUUCUGGAUGAUCGGCAGCUAGCCGAUUUGGCUUUCCAGGGUUUGUUGCCACACAUCAGGGAUAAGUAUGCCUCUCAGGAGUUUGAAAGUUUAAGUCACUUGGUGCAGAGGAUAUCUGAUCAAGACAUCAAGCCUUUCGAGCCUAAGAGGGCAUGGAAUAAAAAAGUGUCAUUUGUUGACGAAGCAACAAGCUCAGAUUCCGACGAGGAACCAGUAAUCGGUUUGGCAGAGUGGGUAAAAAACAAGAAGCCGAUGUCUUGUCCUUUUGGGCAGAAGGAACCAGAGAAGUUUGCAUUUGACACCGCCAAGGCCGAUAGGAUAUUUGACUUUCUACUUCAGGAAGGUCAAAUCAAAUUGUCACCCAACCACGUGAUCCCGUCGGCAGAAGAGUUGAAGAGGAUGAGGUAUUGCAAGUGGCAUAAUGCAACUUCACAUGAUACCAAUGAGUGUAAGGUAUUCAGACAACAGCUGCAAUCGGCCAUAGAUUCAGGGAGAAUCAAGUUUGAUAGUUCCAAAGCCCAGAAGCCGAUGAAGAUAGACCAACAUCCUUUCCCGACGAACAUGUUGGAUGCUAAGGGGAAGGCUAAGGUCUUAACGUCGGAGACAGCUGAGAAGAGUGCAUCGGUAGAUCCUCAGCAUCAAGUUACUACCGCCGAUGCAAGAAGUAAGGGCUUGGUCCAGGAAGGAGCUAGCUCAGGAAGAAUUCCUCGAUCUGGUAUUGUCAUAACUCAUAGAAGGCCUCGAGAGAGAUGGCAACAACGGGAAGAUCGGUACCGGCGCCAGCAGGAAGAUUAUCAACGGGAAGAAGAAAGACGCCGACAGGAGUGGAAUCGGCACAGGGAUCAUUGGAAUUGCCCAUUCUUCAUCCAUUGUUGGGAGGAAAAUAUCAAGCUUCCUACUGUCAGAGACUGCCCUGAAUGCAACGGUUAUGACCGGUACGACAGGAACGAUCGGCGUUAUCAUGAUGAUGAACGACGAUUUAAUGGGCCAAUCAGAGGAAGAGCGUCAGUUCAUGAUCGGCUGGGGGGCAGGCUUAGUGUUCACGAUCGGCUCGGUGACCGUGUCCAGUAUUUUCCCAGGAACCAGGAAGAGCUUGAGGAAAUGGCUAAUGCGCGGGUUCCCGAUGAGUUCAUAUUUUGCAGAGAUGCUAACACACAUCGUAUGGAGUCAAGGGAGAACCGACGCCCGGCAGUAAGGCAAAGGCCACUUCCUCCAUGGUGCCCUCAAGGAUUAACCAAGACACAGAAAAGGAGGUUGCAACGAGAAAGGCAAGAGGAGUUAAAUAAAGGAGAAAGUUCUGAAAGUCGGCAGCCGGCAGACACUAAGAAGGAAGGUCCAUCGGCAGGCGUCAACAUGGUAUUCAUGUUGCCGAUGGAGUUUCUUGCACCAGCCAGUGAUGAUGAGUUGGGAUUUUCUGAUCAGAUAGCUCAGUUGGCUCUGGAUCCGAUGACGGCUAUCUUUGAGAAACCUGCCGAUAACGAGAGGCAGCAUCUUAAAGCUUUGUUCCUCAAAGGAAGGGUUGAUGGGCAGCCAAUGACCAAGAUCCUAGUUGAUGGUGGAGCUGCUAUUAAUAUUAUGCCAUAUGCAGUAUAUCGGAAGCUUGGGAAAGGGGACCAAGAUUUGACCAAGACCGAUAUGAUGCUCAAAGACUUUGAGGGAAACGUGUCUCCGGUCAAGGGGGCGAUAUGUGCAGAGUUGACCAUCGGCAGCAAAACCUUGCCGACAACCUUUUUCGUGAUCAGCGGGAAAGGUGCCUACAAUUUAUUAUUGGGGAGAGAUUGGAUUCAUGCCAAUUGUUGUGUCCCAUCUACAAUGCAUCAGUGCUUGGUUCAGUGGGUAGGUGACAAGAUUGAGAUCGUCCCAGGGGAUUCUUCUUAUGUUAUCGCAUCGGCAGAAGCAGAUACUUAUGAAAAGACUAGGUGCAUUUCAGGAGAAGUUUGGGAGAAAGAUUUUCUCAAAGUUGCCGAUUAUGAGAUUCCACCGAUCCAAGCAGUCGGUUCUGACGACGGUUUUUAAUGGAUAGAUUCGCCGAUGAUGGAAAAUUGGGCCAGGGAUUCACGUCGGCCGAUGAUUUGGUAGAAGUGGAUAUAGGUAGUGGUGAUAAGCCUAGGCCUACUUUUAUUAGCGCUAGACUAGAUCCUGAGUGUAAACGGCAAUUAACUAGUUUGUUAAAGGAAUAUAAAGAUUGCUUUGCUUGGGAUUAUACAGAGAUGCCUGGUUUAGACCGAUCAAUUGUUGAACAUCGGUUACCCAUCAAGUCUGGAUUUCGGCCACAUCAGCAACCAGCCCGCCGAUGUAAUCCCAACAUUCUACCUGAUAUAAAGGCCGAAAUCACUAAACUUAUUGAAGCUAAGUUUAUUCGGCAGUGUCGGUAUGCCGAAUGGAUUUCCAAUGUUGUUCCGGUUUACAAAAAGAACGGGAAGCUUCGAGUGUGCAUUGAUUUCAGGAAUCUCAAUAAAGCUACGCCGAUGGAUGGAUACCCAAUGCCUGUUGCCGAUCUACUGGUUGAUGCUGCGGCUGGCCAUCGGGUCAUCAAUUUCAUGGAUGGUAAUGCGGGUUACAAUCAAAUAUUCAUGGCAGAGGAGGAUAUUCCAAAAACCGCAUUCAGGUGUCCUGGUCAUGUUGGAUUGUUUGAAUGGAUAGUCAUGACUUUUGGGUUAAAGAAUGCUGGUGCUACUUAUCAAAGGGCUAUGAAUUUCAUAUUUCAUGAGUUCAUCGACAAAAUCGUAGAAAUUUAUAUUGAUGAUGUGGUGGUUAAGUCUGGAGAUUUUUCAAAGCAUCUUGCCGAUUUACGAAAAGUGUUGGAGUGCACCAGGAAGCAUGGAUUGAAGAUGAAUCCCAACAAGUGUGCAUUUGGCGUAUCGGCAGGGCAGUUUCUUGGUUUUAUGGUACAUCAGAGGGGUAUUGAGAUUAGUCGAAGAUCUAUUGAUGCCAUCAAUAAAAUAGUGGCCCCUACCAAUAAAACCGAGCUCCAAUCCUUGAUCGGCAAGGUGAAUUUUAUCAGAAGAUUUAUAUCGAAUUUAUCUGGGAGAAUUCGUGCUUUCAGUCCCCUUCUUAAAUUGAAAGCCGAUCAAGAGUUUGUUUGGGGAGAAGAACAGCAGUUGGCUCUGGAUGAGAUCAAAAAGUAUCUAGUGGAUCCUCCAGUUUUAGUUCCACCCCAACAAGGGAAACCCUUCAAAUUAUAUUUAUCUACCGAUGGAUCGGUUAUCGGUUCAGCUUUAGUUCAAGAAUUUGAAGGGAAGGAGAGAGUAAUUUAUUAUCUGAGCAGGAGGUUGAUUGAUGCUGAAACCAGGUAUUCGGCCAUAGAGAAGCUGUGCUUGUGCUUAUAUUUCUCAUGUAUCAAGCUAAGACAUUAUCUGUUGUCGGCAGAAUGUGCUGUUGUUUGCAAAGAUGACGUGGUCCGAUACAUGCUAUCCAUGCCGAUUAUGAGUGGUAGGAUCGGUAAGUGGAUUUUGGCGCUGUCGGAGUUCGAUUUGCGUUACGAAUCGACUAAGGUGGUCAAAGGGCAGGUUAUGGCCGAUCUUGUGACUCAGCAUUGCGGUCUAGUGGAGACCUUGGAAAUUGCACCCUGGGCGCUCUUCUUUGAUGGAUCUACCUGUGACCGAGGAGCAGGAAUCGGUAUUGUAUUAGUUUCUCCUAAAGGGAGGAAGUAUGAGUUUUCCUUGCCGAUUGUUGCUACAUCAACAAAUAAUCAGGCUGAGUAUCAAGCUCUGAUCAAGGGAUUGGAGUUGUUAAGAGAAGUUCGUGCUGAUGCUGUUGAAGUAUUCGGAGAUUCCAUGUUGGUUAUAAAUCAAUUGGUCGGAAGCUAUGAAUGCCGAAGUGAAGUUCUCAUAACCUAUUUCGAGAGAGGUAUGCAACUGUUAAAAGAAUUCAAGAACUUCCGAUUGGAGCAUGUUCCCCGAUUGCAUAAUGAAGACGCUAAUCGGUUGGCCCAGCAUGCCUCGGGAUAUCAGCCAAUGAUUAAUGCGACAUCGGCAGUCAGUGCCGGUGAUUGGAGGGAAGAAAUUAUUGAUUAUCUAAAAGAUCCAUCCAAAAAAGUUGAAAGACGGGUUCGAUUUCAAGCAACCAAGUAUGUGAUCCUUGAAAAUGAAUUGUAUUAUCGAACUAUCGACGGAAUUCUUCUCCGAUGCUUGGGUGAUGAUGAAGCCAGAAGUUUGAUGGGAGAAAUCCAUGAAGGAGUGUGUGGAGCGCAUCAGUCAGCUUUUAAGAUGAAGUGGAUGAUUCGAAGGAAUGGAUAUUUUUGGCCAACCAUACUUGAAGAUUGUUUUAAAUAUUUCAAGGGAUGUCAAGGUUGUCAAAAGUUCGGUAAUAUCCAGAGAGCACCCGCAUCGGCUAUGAAUCCUAUAAUAAAACCUUGGCCGUUCCGGGGAUGGGCCAUCGAUCUGAUCGGCCAGAUUUAUCCACCAUCUAGCAAAGGGCAUAAAUUCAUUCUAGUUGCCACUGACUAUUUCACCAAGUGGGUCGAGGCUAUUCCUUUGAAGAAAGUCACAUCGGCCAAUAUGAUUGAUUUUGUGAAGGAGCAUAUUAUUUACCGAUUUGGGAUUCCCCAAACGAUUACUACCGAUCAGGGCACCAUGUUCACGUCGGGGGAGUUCGAUGAAUUCGCAAUCGGUAUGGGAAUUAAAGUGUUGAAUUCUUCUCCUUACUAUGCUCAAGCCAAUGGGCAGGCCGAAGCGUCUAACAAGGGAAUUAUCAAGCUUAUUAAACGAAAGAUUGAAGAAAAUCCUAGGCGGUGGCAUACAUUGUUGAAUGAAGCACUGUGGUCUUAUCGGAUGGCUUGUCAUGGAUCAACCAAGGUGUCACCUUAUCAAUUGGUGUAUGGACAUGACGCAGUUUUGCCUUGGGAGAUUAAGGCUGGAUCUAGGCGAUUAUCUUUUCAAGAUCAAUUGGCUGCCGAUGAUUAUGCCACUUUAAUGACCGAUGAGUUAGAUGAUUUAGCAGGGCAUCGGUUAAAGGCUUUAAUGAGUAUAGAAGAAAAUAAGAAGAGAGUUGCCAGAUGGUAUGAUAAAAAGGUGAAGGCUAAGGAGUUUGCCGAUGGGGAUUUGGUAUGGAAGUUGAUUUUGCCAGUCGGGACUAAAAGUUCAAAGUUUGGGAAGUGGUCUCCUGAUUGGGAAGGUCCUUAUCGGAUAAAACGCUCAGCUCCUGGUAAUGCCUAUAUUCUAGAAACUCUCGAAGGAGUUGAAUUUCCCAGAGCGUUAAAUGGCAAAUAUUUGAAGAAGUACUACCCCAGCAUAUGGAUCGAUGCAUAAAAGGUUAAGUGCCGAUAACACUCCUAUCGGCUGAAUUUAAAUGUUCAAGGGCAGACUUAAUGUUUCAAAAGAUGCCGAUAACAGUCUUAUCGGCUAGACUAAAAGCUAAAAAUGGAGAAACAAAGGUGUGUCGCCGAUGAAAGCUUCAGAUGUUCAGCAGCGCUUGGAUUGCAGAUAUGGCGCGCAGCCGAAUCUGGUUGGCUGUCUCUAUCUCUUUGAUAUCGUCAUCGGCAGAACCUUCAAUUGGCUUCAGCUUCCUCUUCAGUUGCAGCGCUCUACGACCAUGGACGUUUCGUUCCUGUUCAAGAUGCUUGAUGGUCUCCGGUAGUUGACUGUCUUCUUGCUGGGCUUGGGACAGGGCGUCUUCUACUUGCUUGAGUUCAGCCAGCAGAGCUUCUCUUUUUGCCGAUAGAUCAGACAUUUUCUGCUUCAGUGCAUCACCUGAGGACUUUAAGAUGCCGAUGUUCUUAUGUUUCUCAUCGGCUAAGCGUUUUUCUUUCAUCAUCUCCUCAGAGAGCUGGAUUUGAGCAGCUCUGUCGGCAAGGCGUCGAGUAGCUCUCUGGUACUGUAGCUGGCGGCUUUCUAGAUGUGCAGCGUGGAAGAGUGUUUCUUCGGCAUCGGCAGGAAUUUGGCCUCUAAGAGUCUUGAACAGGGCCUUGGCUGGGUCAGAAUCGUCGACCAGUUGAGUUGUGUCUUGAUGAAGUAUGGCCGAUAGCUCCUCCAGCCUAGCUCUGGUUUCUGCCGAUACAAUUCCAACUGCCCGAGAGGAGCUUGCUUCCUCGCCUUCUUCUUCGAAGAUAUCAAUAGCGAAGGAGAACAAGCUGUCGGGAGAAUCUUGUUCCUGAAAAUGAAAAUGAAAUAGGUCAAUUUUAUGGUCAAAACUUCGGCAGAUGAUACCGAUGGAAAAGUGGAUGACUUACUUGCUUCAAGGCGAUUUCCUGCCGUUGACUCAGAGAGGCCGAUGGAGCUGCAGGUUGAUCGGCAAAUGUUGCCGAUAGAACGAUAUCGCCUGAAAGAGGACAGGAAGGAUUAUAAGAAUAAAUGAAAAUAAGUUUAUCGGUAGGAGUAUUGUUGGGAUAUGUUACCCGGAAGAGGAACAACAGUUGUUUGAAUUGAGGAAACCGCCGAUGAUAUAACUGGACCUGCCGGGCCAGUUGUUUGUUCACCUAUGUCAGCUGACGUACCUGCCGUUUGAGGUUCUUCUUGCUGAGGUUCUUCCAUCUGUGGUGCUUCCUGUAUUGAUUGAGGAGAUGGUGCUUGUUGUGCCUGCACUUCUGGAGGAGAAGGGGAAGAUUCCACCGGGAUUGGAGACACCGGAGGAGGAGGAGGAGUUGCCACUUUCUGACGCUUUGUUCCAGUCUUAGCACCUUGGAUGCCUUUCCUCUUUGGCUGGCUAGACUGGGGGGGAUCGGCACCUUGGCGUUUGGCUUUUGCCGAUGCACCAGUUUGCUGCAACAACGAUAAAGAGUUUAUGAGCACAGAUAACCGAUAUAAAGAUAGUCAGCAUAAAUAAAAAAGGGGUUUAACAGAUUGCCUUGAAAGCUUGCGCCAGAGUGGAAGCAGUUACCGUUGGUGAUGUCUGAGUUUUCCUGGUGGUAACUUUCUUGAGACGCGCGCCCCGGUGCACGAUGGAAGCCAGAGUGGGAGCAUUGUGGCCGAUUGAGGAGAUCGGGCCUGAUGGGAAUAAGUCGAUCGGCUUGCCACUCCUGCUAACCGAUGGGGGGGUGUUGUCAAUCUGCAAAAAGAAUACAGGGGUAAGUUACCGAUGGGAAUAGUAUUGGAAAAUGAGACAUCGGUUUAAAAUACUUACAGUGUCGUCAGGGACUUCGUAUUCGGGGUCGAUCAUGCCGCGGUAUGAGAGGGCCGAUCUGCAAAAAAGAUUCUCCUUCCAUUCUGCCCACCAUAGCUUGUAUGCUUGAGUGAUAAAGGCAGCUGGAACCCAUUCUGACAGAUCUGCAUCUGUAUCGGCAUUUGGUGGUAGCUGGGCUACUCGAGUCCACUCGAGGAGGUUAGCGAUGGGUUCUCUGGGCUUUAUUACAUCGGCAUAAGGAAGUGCGAUCGGCAAUUGGCCGAAAGCUAGCUGGCGAGCUAAUGCCGAUGGAUUAUAAAAUUCAUAAGUUUGGGGAGAAGUUUUCGUGCUGCCGAAGAAGUUCACUGGUAUGGCUCUGGGAGUCACGAUUGCCAUCAUCACCUCAUUGUCCCUAUCAAGAGCUUCGUCGAACGGAUUGAAGGUCAGAGGGAGCAUGCUAUCUGGGUCGUCAUAAGCCAGCCAUGGUCGUUCAUCUCUGGCCAGACCCUCAUACAGCGUUUCGAAGAAUCGGCCGAUCUGAUCCGGAGUGUUCCCUGAACCGGGUAAAACUAUAACAGCUUCGCCAAAGUUCAGGGGGGCACGUGUUGCCGAUUCCUCUUCACCCAACACAUGGUUCUCGGCUAUAUCUCUUGGGAAGUGCUGAGAGAACAAGUUGAGAUCGAGGCGCUUGUGCAGGUGCAGAUUGAGCCACAUAUUAAUAAACCACCAAGGACCUCCCAAGUUGCCGAUAGGUUGGCCGAGCAGGAGUUUCUGGACUAUCUGAUGAAGAAGGUGAUAAACAGCGCCGAGCAAAUAACGGCCGAGAGGAAAUUGACCACCGCUAGCCAGUCUUUCUGCUGCCGAUAGAUAGACAGAAGUCGGUCCUGCCGAUCGACCACAGAAUACAAACUUGUCUAGCCACAUGUUCAGGAAGGUGGUUUGUUCCUUUAUGGUGACAGGCCCUCUCCCGCGGUACUUCUGGAUGUACCCUGACCAGCCGCCGAUAGCGCGAGUCUCCACUUUGGCACUGGGGGCAGCAUCAAAAAAGUGGGUGCUAUCGGCAGAAGAUAUGUCCAACCCAGUAAGCAUGGCUACAUCGGCAAGGGUAGGAGAAGCAGGGCCGUGGCCAAAAACAAAAGCGUUGAGAGUGUCUGACCAAAAGUAAGAUGCGGCUAUCAGCAAUGACUCGUUCCUAUGCAUAUCGGCAAUGGACAGCCUAAUGCAUUGAGCUAAUUUCCUCUCACCCCAUUGAACUUCAUAAGAGUUGCUGACCCUCAAGAACCAGUCUUUCCACCCUACAGUGGGGCUAGGCCAAGAGCGAAAGGUGUCCUUCCAUAGAUCUAGAGCAAAGUUUUCAGCUCUAAAGGGAAUCCUGUUGGUUUCUGCGUUGAUAAGGUCGGUUGGAUCUGGAUCCCCUAGAGGGCCGAGGCAUUGAAGAUGUGGUUGAUCGGUAGGAAUGACAAUUUUGUUGGAUAACUCCUGGUGUUUUGGGGAAUAAGGAUACAAAGAAAAAGGAGAAGGAAAUAUUCGGUAAGGUAAAUCGCAGAUGAACAGGAAUGCAGGAAAAAGGUACGGCAGAUGAGAUGGAAGUCUGACCUCAGGGACGACGAAGCCAACGGCCAUCUUGUCGUGAAGGGGACGCUGGAAGACGCCGGAGUUGAUGAAGAAGAAUGCUUGUCGGAGAUCUUGAGGAUUGAGAAUGGCGCCGCCGCUGGAAAAGUGAAGUUGGAUGGCAGAAUGAUGUAAUGGGGGAGGAGUGCCCAAGAAGGAACUAUUUAUAGGGCAAGAUGGACAAGGGCAAAUCUGACUUAUUUCUUUGCCGCAUCCGAGAAACCCGAGGGUACUCAAGUGGAUAUGGUAACUGUUCGCACGAUAAUCCAGGGAUUGUGCAGGUGAUUUGACAGGAAGCGGUCAUUAUCUAAAGAUAUUUUACUGUGCGCGAUCUCCUGGUCGGUCCAUCGGUGAUAUUCUAUAACGGUCGUCCUGCCGAUGGGCGGAUAGAGGGGAAGUAACCGUUUUUGCGAAUAUCCUGGGCAGAACAUCGGCAGAUCUUUGUAACGGUAUUGUUGCCGAUGUACGACUAAGAGAGAUACCCGUUUGGGAAGUUGUGGAUUUCGAGGGAUCUGCGGAGGAUUAGGAUCAGAGUUGCCCAGAUUGAGGUUGUCGGUUACCAGAUUAGGAGCAUUAAUUGCAGAGAAGACAUCAUUACUGCAGAGAAUUUCGGAGCAUUAAUAGUUUUAUACUCCGAAACUGGGGGGCAUGUGUUGACACCAUUUUUGGGCACGUGUCCAGGAUGGCAGGACAGGGUGGCAGUACGAUGCGGGUUGCUGGUAAGGAUGGUUGCCGAUGAGGGAAAGGUUGAAUGUGACUAAGUCCUCAGACAGUAAUAUGGUGCCGAUGACCAAGUAAAAGGGUCUGCCGAUGACUAUGGCGAGGGGAUUGCCGAUGACGCGAAGGAGGAGUCCGGAAGCUGCCAGUUGUCAUGUGGAGGAGUUUCGGUUUGUCACGAAGGAUGGUUUUAUUAUUUCCUUAUGUUAUUCGUAUCGUUUUGUAUACGGGUUCCGUGUAAUUUGGAAUUCUAAUCGUGUCUGGUCGUAGCUCUUUGAGCAGGGUAUAAAUAUAAGCCCUAAGACCUUGUAAUCAGGACAUCUAUCAAUCAAUCAAACACACGUUUUUACUCAUAUUCCAGCAUCUACUUUUCGACGACUUCGUCAUACUUUUUUCCUUUUAUUACGAGUUCUUAGGAAUUCGUCGACUUAAGCUCGGCGUAUUCUCAAGUUCCGCGUGAAUACCUCUUAGCCGUGACAUCCGGGCGCAUCGCUGUUGUCAGGACUAAAGUAUUCGAGUUACCACCUUUGCCGAUAGUAAGGUUAAAUCGGUUGGCACGCCUUAACGUUUGAAUCGGGUAUUAGCCCUUUGUGUUUGCAGAUCAAUUUUGCAUCAACACAUAGCAAUCACUCCCCUGUAAUAAUAUUGCUCUGCCAGCCCAAUACACGAGAGGGGGACUAUAUAAGAAUCAAUGAAGCUAUCACUAUCACGAAGUACCCCACGAUCUAGCACAUUGGGUACAAUCGCAGAUAAAUACGGUAUAAGCACCACGCCUACACAAUGUCUAUCAUUUACCCAUGGAUCCGAUGGAUAAACGCUAUACGAUCCUAAGCAUGUAUAUAGAUCCAAUCUAACUAAGCCAAGUACAUAACUAUGAUAAACUAAGAACAAUAUAAUCUUGAAUAUAAGCAAGUAGAGCAAAGUCAUAAGCAAUAUAUUGAAGUAGAACAAAGUCAUAUUCAUAAUAUUGAAGAACAAAGAUAAUUAGAAAGCAAUUAGAAGCACAAUUAGAGAAUUACCAAGAAUCCUCUUAACAGAUCCGGAAACCAAUCGAAGAUUGACUCCUUCUAGUUCUAAUCCUAUCUAGCUAUGCUAAUCUAGAUAUCUAAUUGAUGUGGUGGCUCUAAUCUUGAUUAGAGGCUUCUUAUCCCUUGAGAAUAAUGAAUUAAGGUUGAGAGGCUCUCUCCUCCAGUGGCCAGGGGAUCUGGUUUUAUAGUCCCUUCAAGUGAAUAUGGGCCGUUGGAUCAAACCGACUUAGAUUGAACGGUUAUCCUUGAUCCUUUGGGUCGGUGGAGAUCUCCCACGAAGCAAAGUCCUGAUUGGACUCUAGAGGUGGGCGGGCGCCCAGGGGAACAGGGCGGGCGCCCUGCCUCUGGCCCCGUUUCGCCUCCGCUUCGGUCUCGUGGCUUCUGGAGUCUUCUAGAUGUAAGAUAAUUGCGCGGCACGUUAAUAUCUCUAUGUAAUCCCGACGUGUGGGCCUUUCUUCCGUAUUUCCUGAUAACCCCCUGUAGAAAUAGACAAACACCAAAACUCGUGGAAUUCUGUCAGAUAAAACCCUAAGUCUAGAUGUUGAUUUCAUUUGGAUCCUUUCCUUUGUUUAUUUAAUAAUUAAAUUUGAUACUUAAGGACCGUCAACAAUUGUCACUAUUGUAAGGACAAUCCGCCACAAUAUGAUUGGGGCAGUUGCACUUGUAGCAUAGCCUUACAUGCUCCUUGUUAUUGAAGUGAUCUCUUCUCUUUCUUGUGUGAUAGCCCUUCUUCUUCAUCAUCUUGCCAAAUUUGCGGACAAAGAGUGCUAGUGCUUCAUCAUCACUAUCAUCAUUGGAGCACUCCUCAUCACUUGAUUCUUCCUUCUUGGCCUUGCCCUUGUUCUUGCUCUUGGAUGAAGAGCUAGCUUGGAAUGCUACACUCUUCUUCUUCUUAUCAUCAUCAUCCUUCUUCAUGACCUCAUCAUCAUCAUUGUCAUUGUAUUGAUCUUCGGUCAUGACAUCUCCAAGUACCUCAUUAGGAGAUACACCGGUCAAUCCACCUCUAAAGAUGAUUGUUCUCAAUGUCUUGAACCUCUUGGGCAAGCACAUCAAGAACUUGUGAAUGAAGUCCUCAUCCUUCACUUUCUCACCAAGGCCCUUGAGAUCAUUGAUGAUGACUUGGAGCCUAUAGAACAUCUCUGGUAUGGACUCAUCAUCCUUCAUCUUGAAGUUUGAUAGUUUGUCCUUGAGCAUGUACAACUUGGCACUUUUUACCGUUGUAGUGCCCUCAUAUGUUUCUUCUAAUCUUGUCCACACUUCACUUGCCUUCUCAAGAUCUUUGACUUGCUCAAAUACAUUUGAAUCAAUGCCAUUAUAGAUUGUGUCGAGAGCCAUAGUAUUGCAUUGCUUGUUUGCUCUCUCAUUGUCGGUGGGGUUAGCCGGAUCAAGAAUCACAAAGUCAUUCUCCGUGACUUCCCACACUCUAUCAUUUAUUGAUCCAAGGUACAUUUUCAUCUUUCUUUUCCAAUAGUCAAAAGAACUUGUGCCAUCAAAGAACGGUGGUUUGCCCCCAACAUGUUUGAACACUAUUUGAGCCAUAAUUUGAACACCGAGGUUGAUAAGCCUUCACAAAACAGUGACCACGGCUCCGAUACCACUUGAAAAGUCCUAAUAUGGCUAGAGGGGGGUGAAUAGCCUAUUUAAAAAUUCUACAAACUCACUAGAGCAAGAGGUUAGUAAAUAACAAAGCGAAGCUUUUUGCUCUAGCUCUAAAGGGGUGUUUGCAAGCCACCUAUCCCACAAUUCUAGUUGAUAUAAUCACUAGGCACACAAGAGCUAUGUCACUACUUGCACUAGAAGGCUACCUAAAGUUUCUAUACAAGUAAGUAAGCUACUCUAGUUUGCGGGAAUGUAAAAGAGUGGAUGAGAUAUUUAUACCACCAAGUAGGGGAUGAACCAAUCACCAAUAUAAACAAUCAAGCACCGGGAGAAUGCCAAUCAAACACAAUUGAGACACCAAUUUUUCUCCCGAGGUUCACGUGCUUGCCGGCACGCUACGUCCCCAUUGUGUCGACCAACACUUGGUGGUUCGGUGGCUAAGAGGUGUAACACGAACCUCGUCCUCACUAGGACACCACAAGAACCUACCCAAAAGUGAGGUAGCUCAAUGACACGAGCAAUCCACUAAUGUUGCCUUUGGCUCUCCGCUGAGGUAGGCACAAACCUCUCACAAUCACCGGGAGAUGGCCACGAACAAUCACCAACUCGUGCCAAUCCUCCUCCGCUGCUCCAAGCCGUCUAGGUGGCGGCAACCACCAAGAGUAACAAGAAAACCGCAGCCAAAUCGAUCCCCAAGUGCCACUAGAUGCAAUCACUCAAGCAAAUGCACUUGGAAUCACUCCCAAUCUCACAAAGAUGUAUAAUCUAUGAAGGAGAUGAGUGGGAGGUGUUUGCUUAGGCUCACAAGGAUGUCAAGUAUGUUAAAAUACCCAGAGUAUAUGCCCCAAGCCGGCCAAACACGUAUUUAUAGCCCCUCAAACAAAUAGAGCCGUUGGCUCUUUCACUGGGUGAAAAACGGGGUCACUGGACGCUCUUAAAGGGGCACCGGACGCUCAACACCAGCGUCCGGUGCUCUAACGUCAGCCGCGUGUCAGAGUCUAACGGGAACCUGCAGAGCACCGGACGCUGAGUCCGGUGCACACCGGACUCAUGCGCAGAGAGUUCCGCAAACUCGCAGGGUCACCGGACGCAAGCCACCGGACGCACCCUCAGCGUCCGGUGCUCACCGGACCCAUGCGCAGAGAGGGUCGCAAAACGCCCGUACACCGGACGCUAACCACCGGACGCUCAAGCCAGCGUCCGGUGCCUAUCGUCCGUGCCCUACCCUAGCUGGGCCAGGCACUAUCUGCACCGGACGCUCAGACGCAGCGUCCGGUGCUCCAGAAGCCAGCGUCCGGUGAGUGUUUUCUCAGCGAGAAACACUCCCGCGACUUCUCCAAAUUUCCCACCGGCGCAAUAGAAAAUAUGCACUUCAUUUUCUCGAAAAGCGCCGAAUCCCGCCUCGCAAGCUCGGCGGGAGGGGGAGAGGAACCCAUCCUCUCUCUACCCUUCAAACUCCACCUCCUUCUCAAAGUGUGCCAACACCACAACGUGUGUAUCAACAACUGCACGUGUGUUAGCAUUUUCACAAUCAUUUUCUUCGAAGGAGUUAAGUUAGCUCACUAGGUUCUAAAUGCAUGCACAUGAACAAAGACACCUAGUGGCACUUGAUAACCGCUUAGCCAAAGAAUUCCCCUCUUUAUAGUACGGCUAUCUAUCCUAAAUGUGAUCACACCCUCUAUGGUGUCUUAAUCACCAAAACCAAAACCCUAAGCAAUACCUUUGCCUUGAUCUCCAUAGGGUUUUGUUUUUCUCUUUCUUCUUUUCCAAGUUGAGCACUUGAUCAUCUUGUGGUUAUCACCAUCAUCACCAUGAUUAUCACUUGCUCCAUCACUUGGCAUGUACCAACCUCAUCAAGUCUACACACACUUAGCAUAGAGGUUAGUACUAGGGUUUCAUCAAUUAUCCAAAACCAAACUAGGGCUUUCACUCAUGGGGAUGUCAAAGGCGAGAGUGCACAUCCAAAACUCAUCUCCUUCAUCAUUCACGACCUCACUUGUGUACUACCCGAUUUUAAGGAUAAAACCAGAUAUGCACCAUAUGUGAGUCUUAGAAGCCAAAUCUCACAUAUAGCUACAAAUAAGGGGUAAUAUCAAAAGACAAUGCAUAAAUAUAUAACGUACUUAGUAUAAAAGAGUUAACAUUUAAUAGCAAACAACGGAUAGACAACUAGAACAGUACACCAAUCAUUUUGAAUUUUUGAGUUCAAAAACACUCAGAACAAAAAAACAAAAUGUAGAAGCAUGAGUGCACAAAAAUGUUGCUACACCCUAAGAUAAAUUUUAUUUUGAUGAAGAAUAUUAUUUCCUAGGUUUCAUGAGCACCAAAAAUUCAUAAUUAAAUCAUUUUAACUCUAUUUCCUAGAAAACAAUUUUUACGGUGUUACAAAUCUACCCCCUUAAAAUGAAUCUCGUCCUCGAGAUUCGGAAGAGGCACGGAUUCCGAAAGAGAAAAAAGGAGCAAGAUAUUGAUAACUAUUUCCGCUUCACAACUUGUACUCCAAAGAUAAACACUUAUGUCUUAUAGUCAUAUCUCGUGAACAAAUUUUCCGUAGAAUAUCUCAGAAGACAAUUAUCACUUCAAGAUAUAUUAGAUAUGCAUCAUCCGGUGAUAUCAAGGUACUACCCCCUUAAAACGAAGUUGAUUGGGGGACACUAGGGACUAGUUCUCCUAUCCUUUUUGGGCGCUACACAUCAUAUAGUCUUUUAACUUCGCUGUACCGAGUCUCUUGAUCCAAGGUUAGUUUCAUCACCAAGUUCCAAUUAUCGGUACCUUUAUCAUAGUUAAGUUGCUUCACCCUCAUAUUGUAUAUAUAACUUUGUUGACUUUGGUGUCAUCUGAUCCUCAUAAGUAUCACUCUUUAUCCAUGAGUAUCAGCAAUGACAUGUACCUCCAUUGAUGUUAGCACCCUCCAAUGGAAUGAUAUCUUGAAACAAACCAACAUACCCAACACUUGAUGUACUUGUAGAUGUUCCAGUCAUUAACCACUUCUUCUCCUUGUAACUUCUUUAAUUAGGCUACCCCCCUUAAGAAAGUCAUUUAGGGGACACACGAAAGGUAGUUUGCAUGUUUUCCAGACAAGUUAACUAACCUUGAGAACUUCGGACAGCCCAAAGAACUUAUGUGCAAGAGAACAAACAGGUAUCCUGAAAUUUUCCCGGGAUAUUAAGAACACCAGCGUAGUAAAACAGGUAUAACUCUCAUUCUGUUAAUCCAAUGGAUUUAUAGCUUAUAUCGUUAGAAAACUUAUGAAAUUCACCGCAACUUUCAUGUAGAAGACAUCCUUAGAUUCUGUCUUGAAGCUUAGGUAAAAUAGUCAAACAUAUUAUCCAUCCUGAAAAUGUCUCAGCAAAGGUGCAGUAGUUUCCAGAAGUUAUAUCUCGAGCUACUUUACUCAUCUGGAGAUGAUCCUUACAUGUUUGAAAAGCUUAGAAAAUCCUGUACAAUUUUCGUGUACAACUUGUUCCUAGAUUCUGUCUUUAACUUGGCUGAAAAUGGGUAAUACCAGAUCUGUCCGGAUUUUGGAAACAGAACAGAGACAUCCAAUUGUAAAUAUUAUAUCUCGGGUUCUACUUAUCCAAAUGAGUUCCAGCUUAUACCUUUAGAAACCUUAGAAAAUUGUCCACAACUUUUCUACAGAUCACGUUUCCAAAUUCUAUAGUUACAUUUGUCUCAAAGAGUAAAUAACCGAAACUGGUCCAGAUUCUUGACAGCACAUCUGUAUCCUCUUGUGAUUUUUGUAACUUCCAAACCAUCAUAGCUAUGAGGAUGAUUCUUGCGGUCAGAGAAAGAGCUUGAAGUCUAGUUGUUCCCAGAAAAAUUUGAUAAACUGUGCAUGAUCAGAACUUGAGAUACACCAUGAUUAUUGCAGACUGCUCCAGAAAUCAGCAAGGGAUAGAAACAUGACAUAACCAAACCCAACUACUUAUUUCAUUACUCCUUAUGCCUUAGGCCGAUAAACUAAAUGAAAUUUGCAAUCAUUACAAAAAUCCAAAUCAAGCAUAAACAUAUAACAAGCCAAUUAAGCAUUGAAGGUUCACACUUCACUCAACUUGCGAUACUAUGGUUUUCUUCAUAGUAAGGGUAGAGAUCCUAAAACUCCUAUUCAAAAGACACAAGAAGAUGAUAAGGGAAGGCUCUAAAAGCAUACCAACUCAAGGAGUGAAGAUGAGAACAAGAACUUUUAAAAUAAGCAACAAGGUAGAGACAAAUAGCAAGGAUAGAGAUAUAGUAUAGAGGAAAACAUAAAGGUUUAUAGAACAAGGGUGAUAUAACAAUUUUAAAUCUUAAGAUGGCCAAUUUCUAACUAGGCUUGCGUCCUACAGUCAGCAUUGCUUUGAUACCACUUUGUAAUACCCGAUUUUAAGGAUAAAACCAGAUAUGCACCAUAUGUGAGUCUCAGAAGCCAAAUCUCACAUAUAGCUACAAAUAAGGGGUAAUAUCAAAAGACAAUGCAUAAAUAUAUAAUGUACUUAGUAUAAAAGAGUUGACCUUUAAUAGCAAACAGCGGAUAGACAACUCCAACUUCGGGUAUUAACUUCUCUCUACAGGAUCCAACAGUCUUGACUGGUUGAUCACAAGCCUAAACUUCUCCUGAGGUUUGGGGGAAAUUGCAAGAGUGAGUCCAUGUCGAACUCCACAAGUAUAGCAACUAGAUUGUAUAGAGCCCACAAUCUCAUGAUCAAUGUGACAUAAAUAUUGUAGAGCAUUAAACAAUAAAUAAUGAGUAUUUUAACACAACAAGAAUCAUCACCCUUGAUGUAAGAAUCCCCAAGGCCGCUCGUGACCGUGAGCAUGGCUAGUAUACCAGUUUUACACUCUACAGAGGUUGUACAUCUUUACCCAUGAGUCAAGAUUUACCCUUUCGCCCGAGAUGAUCAGCCUCUUAACCCACUACCAAGGAAGGUCGGUAGGGAUCACUAUGAAUCCUUUCAAAGUUUCGUCUAACAAGUUAGGGCCAUUAGAUUCAUUCGGCAGGCAGAUAUAGAGUCCCCUUCCAUGGCACAUAACCCGCAGCCUAUACACAUGGACAGAGGCCACACUAUACCCAACGUGUCUAGCCAUUCUUACGCCAUUUAAGGUAACCGCUAACAAGCUAGAAAAAGGUCCUCAUACUGAGCUAAAGCCAGAGCCAUUAUAGCCCUCAUGGUUGCACUGUUGUCCCAGUUAUCACUUAUAGAUAAAUCAUCAAGUGGCUAAAAGUCAUUUUUAUCAUAUAUUACUUAACAUUAAUCUAGUCACAGGAUCACGGGUCACAGAAAUAACAUCCAAAUGCUAUACUUGCCUUGAUCCAAUUGCUCUUGCUGAUCUUGCUGGUCUUACUGGUUGUCCAAGGCUCUGAUCUUAAUCACUGAAGCACUCUGGUUCACCAAGAAUUACUUAUCGUCUAAUCUCGGUCAUCGAUCAUCGAUCACACAAACAAUCGAAGAAAACAUACACGAAGCAAACAAGGUUACAAUUAGAACAGUACACCAAUCAUAUAAAUAGUAUGAAAAGUUUAUAAAAUGAUUCUACGCAUCGGUACGAUCUCACAGACGUAAAGAUCACGAAAGUCAGAGUUGAAACGGAGAAUAUAUAAUUUUUUGAAGAUUUUAUAUAGAAAAGUAAUUAAUUAAAUAGGGUCACGAAAUUAAAAAGUUUUAAACUGAGUAAACAAUUUUACUAACAUGUAGUGAUCAUGAUUAUGAACCUAACACAAUUUGAAUGGAUCAAAACGGAAUUAAAAUGAGCAUUUUAUGAGCAAAACAGUUUCAGUGGCAAACUUGUAAAUAUCAAAAACGUACUUUGAACUCAACCCGGCCGAAACACGCUUUCCAGACGAGCUUGCGUAUUCUCCGCAGUACGUCAGGGACGGCGGGUUCUAUACUUAAGAACGCCAGGGUCUCUUUAGCAAAAACUCAGGCCGAAAGGGUAUCGGCCGAUCUGGUGAGUUGGAUUAGACACAGACGGUUUAGAUUGCGUCUGGGCAGUGUAGGGGUGGCCGCUGGCCAGCAUAGGGCACCGGCGCGGCGGCGCCAUGGCCGGAGACGGCCGGAACCUCGCCGGAGUUGGCGAUUUCGGCGAUACAGUCCACCAUUCACAAAAUAAAAUACAUGGGGAGCAAGAGGAGCUCCAGGCGCACUCACCCAGGGCACAAACGUGAACAAAGAAGGCUUGGAGCGGCCGGGCGAUGAUGGAUGGCGGACCGGAGUGUCCCUGCACGUACGGCAUCGAUGAGGGAGUACUGGAGCGCGAUAGAGGUUAAAAGAAGAGUCUCAGCACCUUCGUAGACCCGCUUCGAAGCUCGGAACACGAUCGAUGGUGCCCUAGGUGCGGCAGAGGGCAGGGACGACGGUGCGGCCGAGCUUGGCACCGGCGAGAUCCCAAAAUCGGGUCCCGGCAUUCUUGCGAUGACCAAGAGAGCAAAUAAACGCGGAGGGGAGGCUAGGGAACUUUAUAGAGGCAAGGAAGAUCUUCUCGUAGGGAUAAUCCCGUGGGGACCGGGAUUCGGCUCCCGUCCGCUCGGGCCGUGUCCUGCUUGGACACGCGAAGAAGGAGAAGGAAAGGGGAAGGAGACGCUGACCAGUGGGCCUAGGGUGUCAGCGAGAGAAACGGCGGGGUCUGGUUGCCAGUGGAAAGAAGAGUAGGGAGACGCGGCUUGGGCCGGCCUGCUGCGUAUCGGGCCGAGGAAGAGAGCGGGCCGUGGGGGAAAGAAAGGGGGAGAGCUGGGCCUUCGCCUGCUGUUCUGCUGGGCCAGGGAGGAGAGUAGGCCGAGGUGGGGGAAAGGUUUAGCUAGGUCUUCGGGCCAGAGGCAAGCGGGGAGGGUGUUGGUUUGUUUUUUCUUUUUCUUUUAUUCCAAAGCUAUUUGAAACUCAGUUAAAAAUUCUUUUCAAUCAUUUUGAAUUUUUGAGUUAAAAAACACUCAGCAAAAAAAAACAAAAUGUAGAAGCAUGAGUGCACAAAAAUAUUGCUACACCCUAAGAUAAAUUUUAUUUUAAUGAAGAAUAUUAUUUCCUAGGUUUCAUGAGCACCAAAAAUUCAUAAUUAAAUCAUUUUAACUCUAUUUCCCAGAAAACAAUUUUUAGGGUGUUACAUUGUUGUCUCGAAGAUGUCCCACACCUCAAGCAUCCAUAGUGCUACUUUCAACCACUUGACAGGUUUUAUAGUCUGUAACAUAUACAACAAUCACAUUAUGAAGGAAUGUAUACAUGCAAAAAUUAUAAUAGCACACGAAACUUAAAAUAUUCCAUAUUAUUGAGUGGUCUGGGUAACACGGAACAGCCCGAUCUGGUAAUGGCGUGAAUAGAAGAUCACCAGGGUGGAAUCUAGGUCCCUCUAGCUCGAGAAGUCCGCCGCCAUUCAUCGUAACUAAAACAAAAAUCUGAGAAAAGCAUCACAAUUAAUAUAGAACCCCCAUAUGAAUACACCAUACAACAACAUAUAUGUGAGAAACAUAUAAACAAUAAAUUAUCAAUAAAGAUCUAGAAAACAAAAAAUGUAUUAUGGAGAAAUGAUGUAUAAAUGAAAAUAAAAUCCACUAUUAUUAGAAGUUGAAGUUGCUAACCUUUACAAAAUAAAAAUGCAUGGAAUAAGAUGAUAACCUUUAGAAGGAUUUGGUCGUUCAAAGAUGCUUGACAACAACCGGCAAGAACUGUUGUUGCUCCCCUAAGCAGGAACACUCUGCGCAAUAUCUUUGUACUGAAUUGGAUCGGGCUGAUUAUUUAGGAGGGGCAUCUUUAGGGGCGGUUGAUUAAAGAGAACCACAGCUUUAAAUCACUUUGUAAGGGUGGUUCCCUUAACUAAGCCGUCUUUGAACAUUUCAAAGUUUUAGAGACAGUUAUGUAAAGAGACCGUCUCUAAAAAUUCAGCUUCAGUAGCAGCCUUCUUAACUAAACUGCCACUGAAAAUGAACGUCUAUCAGAGAUGGUAUUCUUAAUAGAAUCGCUCCUAAAGAUCCAUCUUCAGAGCCAUUGUUGUUAACUAAACUGCCUUUGAAAAUGGACUUGUAUUAGACGGUUUUCUUAAUAAAACCGCCCCUCAAGAUGAAUUUUCAAAGGCGAUCAUGAAGCUACAGUGCACUACCAAAUUUUGACCCUAUUGCAUCACGUCCUCUUGCAUCAAACACAAAUAUGAUGGCACUAUCAAAUUUUGACCCUAUUGUAUCACGUCCUCUUGCAUCGAACACAAAUUUGAUGCACUAGGUGGCUGCUAUUGCAUCAAUUUUGGAAAACUGAUGCAAUAGGUGGCCAUUAUUGCAUUGAAAAUGAGAUGGAUGUAAUAGUAAUUCAUGUUGAUGCAAUAGGUAUGACAUAUCGCAUUAUUUUAAACAAGGGGUGCAAUAGGUAUGACACCUUUGGCCGCAUUAGUAUUGAUUUUUUUUGCAAUAUGUUGGUCGUAUUGCAUCGAUUUAUAAUAUGGAUACAAUUAGAAAGUACUAUUGCAACGGAUUUGUGUUUGAUGUAAGGUCAUAUUUGCGACUGAGUAGCUAGCUGCUAGGACCAUGUGUAAGUUAUAUAUAUAUUUUGAAAUAAAAUUGACUAAUAUGAAAAAAACAUCUUAUGACUGCAUAGCUAGCUACUGGGAACACGUCUAAGUGAAUAGCUAGUUAGUGGGACCACUUGUAAGUUAAUUAUUUUUUGAAAUAAAAUUGACUAACGUGAAAAUAACACCUUGUGACUACAUGAAAAGUGAAUUGUCAAUUUAAACAAAAUACCACGUCUAAUAAAUGAGUUGUUAAUUAUUUUAAAAAAAUCACAUGCGAGGGGGCCGGGUAAGAGGAGUUGAAGUUUGAUUCCUACCGUGUUAUCCAACUAUACAUUAGUAAUGCAUGUCAUUUUGACUUUUUCAGGACAAUCAACCUUGAGGGAGUAUUGGCAAGCUGAAUGGAAUCAAAUAUUGUGUAACAAGAAAGAUGUCAUGUUGAUCUGUGCUAGGAGAUGUGUAUUUUUGUUUAUGAUUUCCUUUUUGUAACAUAAGUUAGUGGUUUGUAACACAGUUCAAAACUUUGCAAUUACCUUCUCUGAAAUAGGAAGGCCAUUGAUUUCCUUAUAUUAUACAAACUAUUGAAUGAUGAUGACCAAGUUACUAAUUGUUGGGUAUUCUUAACAUCAUUACCAAAAGUAGACUAAGUUCUCCAAAUCUAGUAACGGUGCGAAAAAUGCCAAACCUAUCCCUCACACCACUUAAGCCAAGUUGUCAUCCCCAGCAUGAUAUAAGAGACGCGGUAUUGAAAUAUGCAAUUGCUCUUCUAAAUAAAUAAUGAAUGGGAUCUGCAAGCGCACAGAUUAAUACCGAUGUAGCAUUUUAACCGGGAAGUAUUCCAGGUAUCGUUAUUUAUAUUUUUACCACUGGGAAGGGAUUAACAAUCAUCAAUAUUGAUUACAGAAUAAAAUAUGAGAUUGAGCAUCUAUCAUUGCAUGUAUAAUGGAGAACAUUAUAUCUAACUUCUCAUACAGGGAUAAGUGUCACAUAAGAGAUAUAUGAAAUAAUAAUAGUGACAAGGAUAACUAAUCUGAUCUAGCCACAUAAUAAAUAUGAUAAGCACCUCAAUUAGAUACUCUAGAAAGUCAUUAGCAUGGUAUUAGAACGAACUACAAGAAUAUUCUCUAAGUUAUUCUUAACUAUAUAGUCUAGCAUUAUCAUAGUUAGUGCAAGCAUACUUAGCAAUCAUUGCGAGUCAAGACUACGCCCAUGCAUAGUGAUAUUAGCAAGGAAUAUGAGAAACAUAGCAAUCACUCCCCUGUAAUAAUGUUGCUCUGCCAGCCCAAUACACGAGAGGGGGACUAUAUAAGAAUCAAUGAAGCUGUCACUAUCACGAACCACCCCACGAUCAGGCAUAUUGGGUACAAUCGCAGAUAAAUACGGUAUAAGCACCACGCCUAAACCCUAAACCCAUGGAUCCGAUGGAUAAACGCUAUACGAUCCUAAGCAUGUAUAUAGAUCAAAUCUAACUAAGCCAAGUACAUAACUAUGAUAAACUAAGAACAAUAUAAUCUUGAAUAUAAGCAAGUAGAGCAAAGUCAUAAGCAAUAUAUUGAAGUAGAACAAAGUCAUAUUCAUAAUAUUGAAGAACAAAGAUAAUUAGAAAACAAUUAGAAGCACAAUUAGAGAAUUACCAAGAAUCCUCCUGACAGAUCCGGAAACCAAUCGAAGAUUGACUCCUUCUAGUUCUAAUCCUAUGUAGCUAUGCUAAUCUAGAUAUCUAAUUGACGUGGUGGCUCUAAUCUUGAUCAGAGGCUUCUUCUCCCUUGAUGGAAUAAUGAAUUAGGGUUGAGAGGCUCUCUCCUCCAGGGGCCAGGGGGUCUGGUUUUAUAGUCCCUUCAAGUGAAUAUGGGCCCUUGGAUCAAACCGACAUAGAUUGUAUGGUUUAGAUUCAUCCUUUAGGUCGGUGGAGAUUUCCGCGAAGCAGAGUCCUGAUUGGACUCCUGGAGGGGGCGGGCGCCCAGUAGGACAGGGCGGGCGCCCUGCCUCUGGCCCCGUUUCGCCUCCGCUUCGGUCUCGUGGCUUCUGGAGUCUUCUAGAUGUAAGAUAAUUGCGCAGCACGUUAAUAUCUUUACGUAAUCCCGACGUGUGGGCCUUUCUUCCGUAUUUCCUGAUAACCCCCUGCAGAAAUAGACAAACACCAAAACCCGUGGAAUUCUGUCAGAUAAAACCCAAAGUCUAGAUCUUGAUUUCAUUUGGAUCCUUUUCUUAUUUAUUUGAUAAUUAAAUUUGAUACUUAAGGACCAUCAACAAACUCCCCCAAGCUUACCUCUUGCUCGUCCCUGAGCAAGGAUAGACUCAGCUAUGGAUCAGAAGUUGCUGCAAUAUCUUUAAAAUUUGACGGUACACAUACUUUUAAAUAAGAUCUCAUCUCUGAGUUAGAGUAAACUGUCAAGACUUAAAACUUACUUACUUUACCUCCAUCAUGGGACUUGUAACUGUCACUUCUGUCUUGAGUAGUUAAAAGAAAGAACAGUCUAGCCAAGUGCCAUGUCUCUUAUUCUUGAUCAGCUAUAGCUCUGGUGUUUUUUACAGAUUUUCAAAUAAAACUUAGAGAUUCCUUGUAUGAUUCUCUCAAAUCUCUCUUUUGUGGUAUUUCUGGAUCGUUACCAAGGCAGUGAUGGUAUAUGCCUUCUCUCAAGAUAUGUAGUAUUUGUGGUAUAAAGCAUAGUGACAUUGUCUUCUUUCUCACCCUACUCUAAUAAGGCUUUAAUAUCUGGAGCUCAUAGGUGGGAGAUAAAGUAUACAUACUUACAAGACAUGUGUUGCAUAAUCAAACCAUGGAUCCAAAGAAACAAAUCAAUAAGCCAAAUCAAGAUGUGCAUGUGUGGCGAAUGAAUGAUGUAUGGUGAUGAUGGUGAUAAUAAUGGUGAAAACAAUGGUGAAAACAAUGGCGGUGGAAGUAUAAUUCUACUUUGCUCUUUUGAGGGGAUACAUACCUUCCUUGCUUUUUGAAAUUUUAUGAGGAGAAUGAGAUGCUCUUCUUUUUCUUUUCUUUUCUUUUCUCUCAGGUGGGUAUCUUGCACCCCUAAUUCUACUGUCGGACACUUGUCCAUUUUUACCUCUCGUCUCACUUUUUCUUUUCUUUCGAGGUUCCGAGCACUUGCUCCUUUUUAUUUCCUCGUAUCUCUCUCUGUUUUUUUUAGAGCAUUCAUCUCUUGAGAUAAUAUAGCAAGUGGUAGUAACAAGAUAACUUGAGCAUUUAUUUCACAAGGGGAAAACAGAAAUAUUUUUGGUUAUUCUCUCCCGGAUUAGGAGUAGAAUAUUUUUAGGUGGUUCUGGAGAUGGAAAUAGAUGGAUAUAUGUGGAUGGUACUUCCGGAGUAGAAGUAGCAUAUAUGAGUGAACGUGCAAGUGAAAUCUUGAUUUAACCACAUGACAAGCUCCUAAGGGUCUACACAGCUUGACCACACUCAAUGCUCAUAAGCAGUAAAUAGUAAAUGUGUGGCUCAAAGUCUAGCAAGCAUGUAUAUAUGGUUGUGGUAGGAAUUUAAAACUCUCAUCAUACAGGAACUCAUCAUGCAACAUUUUUAAAGAUUUUCAAAGAUAAAAUUCUCCAGAAUUCUAGCAUCUCUAGAAACAGAUAAACAGCAGCUCAACCUUCCCAUAUCAUAUCCGUUAACAACUUAGACUUUAGAUCAAGUUUUCAUCCCACAAGUUUUGGUCUAGAGCAAGAUUUAAAUUAUAACAGUUAUGUCUAAACUUGAGAGAGAACUUAAAAUGUGCACAUUAGGCAGAGCAACUAUUCAUCAUAUCCAUGCUUAAGUUUUAUUUAGAUACAGAUUAGCAUAGCU
rnacentral:lncRNA from 1 species